rnacentral:lncRNA from 1 species
UCGGACGGAUCUGGCUGAACUCUCUCGCUUUCUUCGCAAGGCGAAAAUGCUAGGCAGCCGUCAACAUUGUCGACUCGCCCUUGGUUACUAAUUUCGAUUAUUUUCUUCUGAUUUGAUUUGAUUUCUUGGUGAUGUUUUUGUGUUUUUGUUUUCGGAAACCUUUGGUUAGAUUAAUUUCUUUUUGUUUGAUUUCAUUUUUUGGUUAGCUUUUUGUGUUUUGUUUUCGAAAACCUUUUUGUUUUUUUAUGUAGAAGGAGAAUGAAAGGAUGAUUAUAUGUUUCCCUAUUGGUUUGAUCGCCGAGAUGAUGGCGAAUCUUUUGUAUUAGCUCUAUCUGAUUAUUCUCUUUAUUUUUUCGUUCUUGAUUUUUUUUUUUUCUGAAAAAUGGGAAUGCAAUUAGAUUUAAAAGACAGUAUUUGAGGGUGGAUCAUGAAUGCCAUUCGUCAGAUUGGCCAGAUGUAAUAGCUUUUUCGCAAUAGUAAUCCUCUGGUAAUACAGAAGAUUAUUGUUAUUAUUUUGUUUUUUAGUUUUAAUUUUUUUUAAGGAGGAGAGAAUGAUAUGAUGAAUGAAUUUGUUUCCCUAUUGGUUUGAUCGCCGGGAUGAUGGCGACAAAUAGUAUUAGCUCUAUCUGAUCAUUCUGUUCCUCCCUCUUGCGAUUUUUCAAUGUCUUAAAUGUUAAUAAAUCUUCGUUUCAAAAACCUAAUCGAGCUUUUCGGUCCUCUUUCGUUUUCAUCAAUUAUUUUUAUUUUUAUUUUUUGAUCACAUCCAUCCAUUUUUGUAUGGUUUUUUUUUAUGACAUCCAUAUGUAACAAGCCAAAUUUCAUCCCUUAUCCGAGUUACAACUAUUAAUCGAAUGACGAACGGCAUGUUGCAAUUAAUUAUUUUCAAAUUAUAAUUAAUACUAUACAAAAUUGUUUAAAGCAAGAAUAAGUAUGAUAUUUUUCAUCCUAAAAUAUCUUUGAAUUAGUAUUAAGUACACUGAUUCUCAAUAUAUAUAUAUAUUUCGAAGAAUACUGUAUGCAUUAUUAUUUGUUUCUUUAUUCUCAAAGUUUCAUUAAAAGUUUUUAUCUUUUCUUAUCAAUUUUGUGUACAAUUAUUUGUAUGCUAUCAAUAUUUUCCUAAAGUUCACAGCUAUUAAAGAUAGCCUUCAAGCAGACCCGGCCUAUUUAUUAAUCAUUUAGAUUAUUAUUAAAAAUGAGAAUUGGAAUAAAAAAAUUUAUUAUCAAAAAUUAAAUCUUCUUCUUCCUUUUAGUAGUAUGGUAAUUCCCGAUAUUUUAAUUCUACUCUAUUUUUAUUACCAUUUUCGCUCGCAGUUGUUUAAAAUGCAAAAUAGGAAUUUAAAUUGACUGGAGAAGUUGUAGGCAAGCGAGGGGAUUAAUGGCAUGUGCUAGAUGGUCCCAUUACUCUUUGUAUGGAUUUUUUUUAUUCAGAUGGAGGGUAUGUCUUCUUCACUAUGUUCAGUACUUCACUCCUUCAUUUGCUUCCAUACAUGUGAACUCAAAGGGUAUGUGAAAUACCCACUAUUAUUGCAAUGCCCAUACAUGCGAACAAAGGGUAUGUGUUAUACCCACUGUUAUUUGGAUUCAAAGCCCGUCAAUUCAUUGACUGCAACUUGAGCAAUAAUCUUCAAGUUCUUAUAAAGCUUAUAACCACCUAAAAUGUAAUUUGAUUCAAAAACUUGAACAAGCUCUAGCCUCAAGUGAUGCUUAUAGCCACCCAAUAAUGCCUUCCAUAUAACAGAUUAUGGUUUAAUUCUCAUGCUCCUUGUUAAUAACAAUGCAUCUUCAAGCAGACCAGCCUCGUCCAAAAGAUCAAUCAUGCUACCAUAGUGUUAAACCUGGAAAACGAGUCUUGCGUGAGUGUAGGCGUUUGGAAUAAUGGCCGGUGCUUCUUUUACAUAAUCAUGAAUUACAAGCCCAAGAGGUUGUUUCCUUAAAAAUAACCUUUAAGGGAUUUGCCAAAUGCCAUGGACUUAGUGAGUUCAAACCAUUUAAUGUUAUUAAGUUAAAAAGUUAGGAAGGCACAAGAAUGCUUUACAACUUUAGCAACGCUCUCAAAUGCUUGAUGUAUUUGCUCAAAUGAAAUCAUACCCUAUUUAUAAGCCAUAUGAAAUCAUACCCUAUUUACAAGCAUGAGUGAGUUUGUGAAAAAUUGAUUUUAAAAAAAGUUGGAGUUCAUGAAAUAAAAUCUUAAUAGUGACUCAUUUUGAAAGGAAAAACAUAUUUAUGAAAAAUUGAUUUUAGGUUCGAGGGUAAGUUACAUAUUAGGAAGGUAGUACUAUGGUAACAUUUCUUUAAACCUUAAAAAGGUUUCUACUAAUUAACUAGAAGGAAUUAAGACAAUUAGUUAAUAAAUUUAUGUAUAAGAGAUAUAAGUAACUCUUUAGAAAUCUCUACCCUUUCCCUUAUAUUCCAUCUUUGUGCAAAGAUUUGCAAAGGUCUUAAACUUCUAAAAUCUUCUACACUCCUCCGAUGGUGGAGGCAUAGAUGCCUCAAGGUGCUUCCAAAAGCUUCUUACCCCUUAUAUAAGCUCAAGGAAGGGUUGUGACACUAAGCUUUCACAAUUGGGAUGAGGUCCUACACUUAGUAUACAUGUUAGUUAGUGCAAACCCAUAUAGAGGUAUUUUCUUUCUUAAGCCAACAUAGAGAUGUAUUUCCUUUCAUAAGUCAAGUACUCAACCGGUACAAAUUGAAAUCACAAUUGUCAUGGUUACCUCGUCAGGGUUGAUCCCAUUAGUUUACCUCUUGGUAAAAAUUGCUAAAGCUUCUCUAUAUUGCUUGUUCUAAGAAUAGUAAGCGAUCAUGGUCGUCGAUGAAAUCAUAUCCUAUUAGAACUCAUAUUCCCAAUCUUAUCAUAAAUUGAAAUUAUAAUGAUUCAUUCAAAAACAACUUUCACAAAUUUCUCACCAAUUUUCUCAUCAAUUACCUCUUAACAUUUCCAUGCAAAUCCCUAUUCGCUUCACAAAUUUUACUAGCAUUCCCAUGCAAAUCAACCAAAGCAUUCUGAAUAAAUACGUGAGGAUAAAAUCCAUCUUUCUAAAUAUAACCAUGAAUAGCUUUUCUAAGCCCAGUGCAGAUACCAAACUGCAAGCCUUAUCUAAGGACGGAAAUGUAAAACUAGUGGGAAGACUUUGAGCUCCUAAUAUAUCAAAGGACUGAUCAUUGGAUUGUACACAAAAACAUUGGGCUCUUCGAGCAUGGAACAUUUCUUGAUUUUGUAGUUAAAGUUUUGCAUAUGUUUCAAAAAAAAAAAAUCUCACCCAUUUUCUAGAACAAACGGAGUUUAAAGUUUUCAAAAUUUUGACUAGAAAAGAGCCUCUGAUCAUAAAAUGUAUGAAAGUCUUGCAUUAUAAUUCUAUACACAAAAAGAAAAUUCAAAUUUAAAAUGAUCUAUUAAAAAAAACAAAGACAACAAAAAGCUCCAAAAAAAAAAGAAAAAGAAAAAGGCCAAAAGAAGAAACAACUUCAAAAUCCAGUAGAGUUCGAAAAUGCAAGAUUGAGGAUAGUUCAACAUACUGAAGUGAUUAGGAUUGAAAACUACCGAUACUUCUCCUCACAAACAUAGCAGAAAAGAGUCAAAUGUAGAUUUAUGACUUUAACUGGCUUGUGUCUUUUCAAAGUUGGUAAUUGUGGGAGGGUGAGGGCCAGUUGGCCAGAGCCUCCCCUCCAAACAAGCUGGAUGAUGAGUAUUUUACCUCUACUUUCUGAGGGAAAACUUGGGUUGCUCACCCACAUGGAGUAUGGAGCAUGAUGCCAGAGAAAGCCAAAGAAAUAAUUAUAGGUGAGCUGUCAAUUUGGAAAAUUCUAGAACCCAAUUUUGAAGAAUAUAAAAAUGACUUUGAUUAAAACUCUUGAGAAAUUUGCAUUUUAAACAGACAGACAACACAUGAUAUGUAAUGCUACUUGUAGAAACACUUUUUUUUUCUUUUUUUUCUCUUAUACUGCUAAUUUACUACUCAGAGAAACACUGGAACAAAAAAAUUCAAAAAACCCAUCAUUUUCUUUUCUUUAAGAGUGAAAACUCAAAGCUCCAAGUCCUAUCAUAGCACAGUGAGACCACUACUCAGUGUGUGUGUAUAUAUAUAUUUUCCCAAAAGCUUAUUCAAACCCACUUAAUAUGUAGCAAGAUUACCUCCUUAUUUCCCACUUCCAUCAAUUGCAUCUAACAUAUCAUCAUGUGUUUAUUAUUUAUCUUCCAACUUACCUUUACCGUUUACCACAUCUACCAAAUUAUCUCAACCUAAGAGUGCAAAGUUAUCUUUAGCCACCAAGGGAAUGGCGGGAUAUAGGUGUCUAAGCUUUGUGAUCAUCAUAAAACACCAAAGAAAAUUAGCAAGACUAGCUAGAUAGAUUAUAAGCCACCAGAGAAUCAAUUUUUUAAAAAUAAAAUAAUUUUGGUGAUGAUCAUAUAGAAAACCUUAAAUAUUGUCCUGGGCUGCUUUGGGUGUAGUCGGAAAGAUAGAUCCCACAAAAGGUUCCCCACUUUUGUGCUUACUAAACAUGGUUAGAUUGAAAUUGAACUCUAGUUUCUUUAUAAAUAAAUUGUAUCCAGGUUGCUGCAAACCAUAUCAACAUUGGUUACCAAAAUAGUUUCAAUAUCAGCAACCUACAAACAUUAAUUAUCAAUGACUCUGUUUUUCUUUUAUUUGGGUAGCAAAGACAGAAAAUUCUACAAUGCAGCUCUUGAUCGUUGCUUACAAUGAAUAUUGUAAGUAGAAGCAUGGAAUUAAAUAAUUAAUUCAUGGGUUCCUUCAAACACUUCUUAUUGAAGCCUAGAAUUAGAGGGGAACAAACAAGAUGUCUAAGAAGAACUUGUCAGAAGACUAGUUUCACACUGGACAUGAGCCUAGGUGUCUUGACCCAUGGAAGACAUGAUUGAGGCCUACCCAUGAGCCCAACAUUAAUUGGUUGCAGCAGACAGUACUAGUGUUAGAACCAUGGUAUUAAUUGGCCAUAACCGAUUACAACACCUCUAAGACACUCAAAAUUAUGAACACAGACCACCUUUGAACUAGAUGUGAUAUAUAUCCACAUCAAAUUAGCCAAAAAGUUUAUAGAUUUGUAUUUUCUUUUGACACACUUUGAAAUGACAUUAUUUUUAACACGACACUCCAUUUUGACCUUUGUAACUGGAUAUCCUAAACUAUCUGGCAUUCCACUUGCACUCUAGGAUGGUAGGCUGUGCACUGGUUUGGUGGACCUCUGUUUUUAUUGCAGUUCUAGAUUUGGAGCCUACAGCCUGAUUCCAAUCCGGCCAAGCCCAUAUCUUUUGGACCUGGGGCCUCCCCUAACCCUUGACUGCCCAACAACUCAGAUUCAAACCCAAGCCCACCAGAGAAACUUUUAAAACCUGUGUCUUCCAAACACGUCAUUCCUUUGUCAGUUGUUCCCUUCUUAAUACCGCUUAUAAAAUCCCCCAUUUUGUAGCUUUCUCAACUGUUGUAGCCUCACCUGUCUUCUCCUUGGUGUUUGAACACGACAUGUCCAUAUCUAUAGAAUGUAGAGGUUGCACCUUCUUUCCCACCCUUGUGCUGGUGCGUGAGCCACCCAUCAUAUUAGCCCUAACAUCCAUCUCACCAUGCUCACUGCUACAUCUUCUUGGCACAACUAGCCAAAAACAGGGUGUCACUUCCCACCACAACUGAAAGGAGAAGUUGGAACUACCUACUACAACUUGCAGCGCACCAUGCAUAUUGCUUCUAGAACUAAACUGAUAUUUGAGAGAAGAAAAAAAACAGAAAUUCAUGCUAUGAUGGAAAACUAGCAUGCUGCCAGCCCCACCCACCCAAAUAUGAUCAAACUACAACACAAAGCAAGCCAUUCCUCUUCCAACUGGUGCUGCAAACCACUAUUCCCUCUUUUCCCUUCACCACCCAAACGAAAAAAUCCAAUGGCAAUAGGAUUAAAUGGUACAACAAGUAGUCCUUCAAAGUGGAGAAAAAAAAAACAGAGUGGAAUACAACAAUUGCCUGUAACAUCCUAUCAAGUCAAUGAAAAAAAAUAACAAAAAUGCAUUGUAUUUAUUUGGGAUACCAUCUCCCUGAUUUGUCAUCCCAAAAUAAUUUCCCUGUCUAUGAAAGAAUAAUAUUAGAUAUUUGGAACAAUGAAAACCUUUCCAUUUGUCUUCAUCUGUACUAAUCUAUUCAAGUAUGAGGAAAACAACAUUAGUUGAGAGAGAGAUUUACCUGUAACUCUAUGAUGCUCUAUAGUAGAUUUUGACAAUGGUGCUCUCCCAUGGAAGUUAAGCAUGACCAUUCCAAUGGAUUAAGGCAUUUUAGUGGUGGACUUUAGUGAGAGCUCUAGGGUUUCGGGGUUUGUUGAGUUGGGAAAUGGUGGAAGAAAUGUUCGGCGGGUACUCGUAUAAAGGGAAAAACUUUUAGUUAAUAUAUAUUCGGAACAUAUAUAUAUAUAUAUAUACUAUUAUUUAAUGUCACCUGAUAUAAACGCCAAUGUAAAAUAUCACAACUAUGACACUGCUAUAAAGCGUCAUGGCAUAACUAGUUAUUCUUAUAAAGGCCACAUCAAGCAAUGAUACUUUAAAUAAGCGUCAUGAAAUAAAAAAACUACUGUAAAAAAUAACCCCUUUGAAAAGCGCCAUUGUAUAUCCCAAUAUAACGAUACUUUAUGAAAGCGCCAAGGAUUAAAGCGUCGGAAUUUUCUAUUUUUGUAGUAGUGAAUUUAGUUCAAGGUUUAAAUUAAAAGUGUGAAAUCAAGGUUUGGUUAAUCUCGAUUUUGAUAAUAACAAAAUAAAGUUUGGAACUAAUGAUUAUAUUUCAAGUGUGAUUAGACAAGAAGAUUUUCAAAGUGGCAAUCACAAAGACAAAAUCAAGCUAAAGAGAAAUCAAUAAGAAGAAGAAUAGCUCAAAGAGAAGUGUUUUUCAAAACCUAAGUAGUAUAGGAUUUCUUUGUAAGAUUGAUGGCGCACUAGGGUUUUCACUAGGUUUUUCAUGUAUUACAUUAUUUAUUUAUGCACUAAAAUAUUCAAGAGUUAUUUUGUUUUAAAUAUUUUAAAAUUGGAUAAUUUCAUGUUUUUAACUAAAACUUUGUGUUAAAUGCUUUCCAAUAUUGUUUAAAAGGUUUUAAGUUGAAAUUGAUGGUUGUUGAGCAAAAAAUGGCUCAACUAGUUGAACUAGAUGAGGAAUCGGUUGAACCGGAUGAGGAACCGGUCGACCUGUUCAACUUAAUCGGUCGACCUGUUCAACUUAAUCGGUCAACCUGUUUAGCUCAACUGGUCAAGGGGUGCAAAAACCUUCUCUCUCUUUCAAAAUGUUUGUUCAACCGAUUGAGGUUGGACCUCAACCGAUCAAAAGAUAAAAUUUUAAAAUAAAAUCCAAAUAGGUAAAUCUUUAGUAACAAUUGUUGGGUGUUAUUUGGUAGAAAUUUUUUUGGAUACUUAUUCGGUACAUAUUGAUCUUAUAAUCGGUAAUACAAAUAUAUAAAACCAAAAUACAAGAAAACAAGAUCAAUUACACAUGAAUAAGAUCAAAGUACAAAUAAAUGUACCAUAAGAUAAAGUGAUGAAAUAUAUAUAUUGUUGUGCCAAAACUUUAAUGCAAAUAACGUUAGAUUAAGAACACAAAGAUAAAACAAUCACACAUAUGGUACACGAGGUUUUAAUGUGGUUCAACCAAUUAUGUCUAAGUCCAUGGAUGAUGGAGAAUCAUUCUACUAUACAAUAGAGAAUAUUACAGAAGACAAAACUAGAUGCAACUAUUGGGUUUUCGAAACAUCCCAUGUUUUCCCAUUCUUUGUAUCCAUACCCUACCAUGAGUCAUCUCGGUCCAUCGGGUAUCUCCCGUUUUUCCUCACAUCUCCAUCCACCCUUGUAUUGUUUCUGCAAGCAUCAGACAUUUCUAUCUUCCUCUCAUAACCUAGAUUUUUUUAUAGAGAUAUUUCUAACAAUUUUCCUUAUUAUAUAAGGAAAUCUAAUAUUACAAUAAUAUAUCAACUUAGGAAUAUUUUAUAUAAUAUUAUUUACAAAAAGGAAUAUUUACUAAUUAGGAAUUUUGGACACUUUCCAACAAUCUUCACCUUGUACCAAAUUCCAUGAAGUCAAUCUUCAAUCUCUCUAUGACAUGGGCUCUUUGUAUCAUAUCCCCAUGAGAGAGCAAUGGACUCCACCUUUAACUGAAAUUCCUUUUGUCUUUAUCAUGUACAUUGCAUAAUCUUUUGUUCUUCCAAAAAUCUUCAACUCGAAGUUUUGAUACCAAUUUGUCGUACCAACAUAAGCUUUAAUGCAAACAACAUUAGAUCAAGAACACAAAGAUAAAACAAUAAUACAUACGGUACAUGAGGUUUUAACAUAGUUUGGCCAAUCAUGCCCACAUCCACAUAUGAAAGAUGAUCAUUUCAUUAUUAAUAUAAAAUAUUACCGAGGAUAAAACUAAAUACAACUAUUGGGUUUACGAAAUAUCUUAUGUUUAUCUACUCUUUGUAUUCAUACCCUAUCAUGAGCCAUUUCGCUUCACUAGGUAUUUCUCGUUCUUCCUCGCAUCUCUAUCUAUCUUAUAUAGUCUCUACAGACCCAUCUCUAUCUCAUGACUUUUUUCUUUCAUAACCUAGAAUAUUUAUAAAGAUAUUUCAAAUAACUUUCCUUAUUCUAUAAAAAAAUCUAAUAUUAUAAUAAUAUAUCAACUUAGGAAAUAUUUUAUACAAUAUUUUUUACAAAAAUGAAUCUUUACUAAUUAAAAAUUUGGAACACUUCCUAUAUAUAUGUAUAUGGAUUGAUCUUGUUUUUUAAGAAGUGUCAAUUCGAUAUUGUAGUAAGGCCUUUUUGGUAUUUGGGUGGUAGUUAGCCUUCUUAAGCAUGUUAAUUUCUUACUUUUAACAGAGAAAUGGGUUUGAUUUUAGCUCCUAAAAGUAUCAAAAUCCCAUGCUUUGCAAUAUAAUGAAUGCAGCUGAAAUGUUUGGUCAGGUGUCUGUUCUAAGGUUUUUUGCAGGCUUAAUUCCAAUAGAUUUUAAUCUCAAGGAAAUGAAAAAACCACCAACCACAUGUCAACACACAUCCUAUUUUUUAUUCUUAAAAUAAAAAAAUAGUUGUACUUUUAUAUAAGAUAUAAGAUCUUAAAAUAAGUUUGAAACAAAUUUAAAUUUUUUUAAGUGAUAUGUAAAGACAAAAGGUAAAAUUUAGUGAUCCGGUAGUGAUAUGAUAAAUAUAUAAUUUAUAUUUUAUUAAAAUUAAAAAUAAAUUUAAGAAAUUAUAUAUAUAAUUAAAAUGUUUAAUAAUAUUUUAUUUUUUAUAUGUUAUAUGCUAAAUCAAAUGCUAAAAAUAUAUUAAAUAAAAUAUGUAUAAUAUUUAAAUAUGAAGAUAUAUUUAAGAUGAAAAGAAAAUUAUAAUAUUUAAUUUUAUUUGCAUAUCUAUAUAUUUUAUUAUUUUAAAAUUUUAAAUUAUUAUAAUAAUUAAUUUAUAUUAUUUUCACAUUUAUUAUUAAUAAUUAUUAUUAAAAUAAGCAUGAAUGUAAAAUAUUUAAAACAUUAAAUAUAAAAAUAUACUAUGAUGACAUCGAAGGAGUUGUAUAGUUCAAUGGUCCUUUCUCAUUUUGUCAAUCAUAGGCCCUGUAAAAUGGUUGGUAGGCCAGAUCUAUAGUUUCCAAUAUCGGAAUAUUACAAACUACAUGUGCGGUGAAAAAUGGUUGGUGGGCCACAUUUAUUGUACACAUAAAAUGAUUUCCAAUGGUUGGUGGGUUUGGAUGUAAGAAACUUUAGGCCUAAUGAAAACAAGCCCAUCAAUGUUUGGGUCAAAUAAUGGUUGAUUUGGUCCGGUUCGAUGGUCCAAUUACCAGAAUUAAUGACGUUUCAGCUCAUUAAUGAUCCAUUUGACCCAAUCAGAACGGGAGGUGAGACGAAAUGGGCCGUCUCAAAUACAAAUGAAAAGGUAGAUGAGAUAUGACUUAUGAGAGAGAGAUAGAAGAGGCAAACUAGAGGCUUGUAAAAAGUCCUAGGCCAGCCCCCCACCCCUCCAGGGAAGGAAUCCUUUAGCUUCAACACAGUUAGGUCUGACCUACAGAAGGUGACAAACCUCAGCUUGUAAUUGUACUAACGAUUUCUCUUUUUUUAACCGGUAGAGAGGAGAACGAAAUAGAAUAUGUAAAAAUUCUAUUGAAAGACGAGCCACAACGAUCUUCAAAUCCAAACUUUUUAACUUUGUACGAAUAGUUCCUUUAUAAUCUUUAUGUUCAAACUACUGGGCAUAUGGAGAGAUGGGAGUUGACAAAGAUGACUGCAGAUAACAAGUCUUAAUUCCUUCUUAAUAUGCAUGCAUGCAUACAAAAUCAUGGACGUUUUGUUUGGAUGAAACAAUAUUGAUUCCGGAUUAACAAGAUGACAUAUGGUUUGAUAAUAUGAAUGUGUUGCCCUGGUUGAUGAGGGAGCAGCAGCAAUGGGCCAAUGGCUGUCAGACCAAAAUUUAUAUGAUUUCCGGUCCUGAUCUAUUGUACUUCAGAAUUCUGUUUCUUUAGGUGGGAGAUUCUCGAGGCGUGUGUGUUAGCAUGUACUGGCAUUGAUAUGAAAACUAGGAGUAGAAAAGGGUAAGGGACUAGGGAGGUCCACCAAUAUAAAGAAACAAGGAGGAUCUUUGGUGUUAGGGGAGCCCCUUUCCUAGCCUGGUCUACUCAACACGUGUUGUCAAGAAUCGUCUGCACUAAUCAUCAAAUCAAAGUCUGUCUUCAGAUCCUCAAGUUGGCCCUCACCCACCCACAUGUUAAGGGGAGAGGGGUUGAGGCUAGAGCCAGGGUUAGGGUAACCUUUUUGAGAGGUAUAGAUAGGGGCCAGACCCCCUCCUGACUCCUGAGUGACGUUGAGGUUGAGGAGGGAAAGGAAGGGGAAUCCACCCAUUAUUGCUGAAAAUCUUGAGGAGAGCGGUCCCCUCCCAUGGGUCUCAGGAAAGCCAGAAACCUCUCCUAGAAAAAUUCCAUAUCGACUCAGUACCCCUUUUGGUGGAAAGCUACAUCUCGAGAACUCUUGACAGCAAUAAAUGCCAUUCCCACAACAGCAAAGACAAAUACCACCAUAUUAGAGAGGGCCUUAAUCACCGGGUGGAUUGCAGACCAAGCUCCAGUGGCAGCCACCAUCCACCAUGAAAUAAGGGAGUUUUAUAAGCUAAAUUUGGGCAAGGGAAAAUGAAAACAAGUGAGGCUGACUUGUAAAAGCUGCCUCUCCUAUUAUAAAUGUUUGUUUGCAGCCGAUGCUGGGGAAGCUAGUUCAUUUCGGGAAGUUGUGGUCCAGAAACGACAAGCGGUUUCAGAGAAGACUUUAGCCCUUUUCGUGAGCGGUUAUAUAGAAAGGUUGGGAGCCCCCACCCCACCGUCUGAUGACCCGGCUUUGUCCUUAUUAGCUUUCGUUUUGUUCAAUUAAAAAAUAAUUUUGUAGCAACGUCCGAAAGACUUACCAGCGUGGGCGCAUCGUCACCUCAGCCGUUUGUCCCCACUCUAUUUCUUUAUCUCCCUUUGUAUAUUUUACAGUGCUGGGGAUGACAAAGAGUCUCUGAGGUCAUCUCUUCCGGCUUCCAAACUCGAGCAUCUCCUUCUCUUGAGUUUGAAUGGUCGCCAAGAAGAGACUCCAUACAAUGGAAGUUGCUGGAGAAUCUCUCAUUGAGAAUGGAGCAUAUUUUAAUAGAGCUAUAGAAGUGAAGAAGUUUGAUGAAACCAAAGCUGGAGUUAAAGGGCUUGUGGACUCUGGUGUGGAGAAGAUUCCCAGAUUCUUCAUCCACCCACCGGAGAACUUGCAGAGGUCUCUGUCUGAAACUGGUGGGACUAGUUUUCAGGUUCCAGUGAUAGAUUUCAGGGGCCUGGAUAUGGGUCAAAGAGCAGAGAUUGUGAGAGCAAUUCGCAAAGCUUCAGAGACAUGGGGCUUCUUCCAGAUGGUCAAUCAUGGAAUUCCAAUUACCAUCAUAGAAGAGGUGUUGGAAGGAGUGAGACGAUUCCAUGAGCAGCCGCAGGAGAUGAAGAUGGAGUGGUACUCACGGGACUCGAAGCAACCAGUGAAGUAUUACUGCAACGGGGACCUCCAUGUAUCAAAUGCUGCAAACUGGAGGGACUCCAUAUCCUGUGAGUUCCCGGAUGGAACUCUGGACCCCGAAGCUUUGCCUCGUGUAUGCAGGUUAGUUCCCUUGGACUCAACGCCCACGAAUAGCCCAAGUAAUUCCCUUGGACUCUUGUUUGUUACUAACUUUUCCUGCAGAAAGGAGAUAACAGCGUACAUCAAAUGCAUGGCUGAACUGAAGGAGAUGGUGGGUGAAUUACUAUCUGAGGCUCUGGGGCUGAGCAGUGACCACCUUAAGCAGAUGGGAUGUACGGAGACUCAAACAUUGGUGUGCCACUAUUACCCAGGUUGUCCCCAGCCAAACUUGACUCUAGGUGCUACCAAGCAUUCAGACCCGAGUUUUAUAACUAUUCUUCUGCAAGACAACAUUGGUGGCCUACAGGUUCUUCAUCAGAAUCAGUGGGUGGAUGUACCUCCUGUACAUGGAGCUCUGGUGGCAAACCUUGGGGAUUUCAUGCAGGUACAACUCUGAGCUGCUAGCUCUGUAUACUUACAUCCUGCUACUCCUAGCUAAAGCAACCUUUUUCUUUUCUCUGUUUGUGUUGGUCAGCUUAUCACCAAUGACAAGUUCAAGAGCGUGGAGCAUAGAGUACUGGCUAGACAGGUUGGACCGAGGAUAUCAGCUGCAUGUUUUUUCUAUCCGAGUACUAUCAAUACGUAUAAGCCUUAUGGGCCAAUAAAGGAGUUUCUAUCGGACAAUAAUCAGCCAAUCUACAGGGAAACUCAUGUCAAUGAAUAUUUAGCCUAUUACAGGUCCAAAGGAUUGGAUGGUACAUCAGCCCUUCCUCAUUUUAAGCUAUGAUGAAUGCAUGCUAGUAAUUUGUGUAGGGUUGAUUAUGGUGUGACGUGCUUUCAAAUUAUGUCCAAUCUGUAUUAGUACGGCUGUUAAUUUACUCUAUUGUUAUGAUGGAUCAUGUUUCUGUAUGAGCUCUAAUUUUAUAUUUCAUCUCAAGGUUUCGAGAAAUGGUGUAAAUGUUAAAAACUGUAAAAGACGACCCAAAAACCAUCGCAAUAACUGAUGAAGAUACUGAAACACUACACAAAGCACUCUGGAUUAUUAAACACCAAACUUCCAAACAAUGACAGAGUAAAAAAUUGGGCACGGAAAGAAAAAGAGCAGGAAAAAAAAAUGGCAUCUCCACACUUCUUAGAGAAACAAACGGAACUCUUUACAGAAAUAUCGGUUUGGUGGUGGGCGUGGAGAUCAUACAAACAAGCAUUGUGGACCAGGAACUCCCAUCAAAAGCUCAAAUGACUCUGGAUAUUGUACACAGGUGGCCCACAUCAUUCUCCAAAAGUUGAGCAGCCAUAGCUGGUUACAUUGUAGGCUUGGGUUGCAAAAUCUGCACAAGUGACCACAAGAUAUCCAUUCUUCGCAUGUUUCUGCUGUUCUGCCCCUGAAACAAUUUACACAUGACCACAAGAAGUAACUAAAUAAAAGUAUGGUGGAUAAAGAUAGUGGCACUAGUGGCUGAUAUUCUAAAAUGUAGCCCAUGUAAAUGCAGAUACCAGGAAGAUGAGCUUUGUUUGGUUUUUUUUGAGAAGCACAUGACAGGAAUAACAUUAAUGACACAAUUUAAAUAAUUUAAUUGAAAAUGCAGAGCUACAACAGCCAAAGUGGAGUUUGGAAGAAGUUAAUACAAUCUAUGGUUAGCAUCUUUUAAAUGCAUUUCUGUGACAUGACAUGUUUUUUCAUUGGACCAAUCCAGGUGAUAAUAGUCUCUGUAUGGAAGAAGAUUGUGUUCCUAACCAGAUACUUUAUCCACAAAUCAUGAUCCUACCUCAACCACAAAACAUAUCCAUGUCUUCUCGCCACGGGCCUCUGUCACACCUUUUAAGAUUGUCAGACCCAAGCUUCUGAUGGCUUCAGCUAUCUCAAGAAAACGGCUGCAUUCCUCACACACCAUCUGCACAGCAAACAAGAAAAUUUGAAAGAUUGAGACUAAUUCAAUGCAAAGUAGGGCAAUCAUAUGUGUUGCCUGUGAAGGAUUUAGGGACUGUCAUUCCCCAUCUUCUUUUUGAAUGGCUGCCUUCAGUGCACUUGUUUUUUUUUUUUGUGCUGCCUACUUAUUUCUGCAGGGAACUUCCUAUUCCUGCCUUCCUGCUCUAAUAAUCAUCUGUUUCUGAUUAAAAAUUGAUCAUAUUGCAAAAUUUCAACCUAUCAGACCAGUACAUACCUCUACAACCAUCUGACCGUCCAUGUUAAGAUUCUCUACUAUUAUAGGACAAACCUUCAUAUGGCUUCCCACCUCCACUGCCCAGCUUGAACCCUGUUCAUAAUUAGAGGAGCCUAGCACACCUGUUUCCUUGCUAUGCAACUGCAAAUUCAGUAAUACAAUGUAAAUUGGCAGGAAAAUGAUAAUUGAAGCCAAUCUUUCUUAUAGUUAGUGGAUAAUUUCCAAUUCCAUAACAGAAUGUCAAUUAUUAAUCUGCAGAAGUUAUCCUAAAACGACGGCUUGAAAAGAAAGAAUCUACUACUAAAUGCCAGCAAUGUAUAAUAACAAUUAUUUUUCCAGUUAAUAGAUGAAUAAAAUUCAGUGUAGUUGCAUAUGCAAGUACCAAAGUUUUGGACAGAGGAACACCAAAAAGAAUGCUGACAAUAGCUGAUAUAGGUUACUAGGAAAAGUACAACUUCUAGUUUCUGACUCUUAAUAUGGGAUGGUGGUUAAGUCCCUUAUCCACAAGGCUUGUUCAAUUGGAACAAAAAAUUGGAUGCUUGCUUUUUACCUUUGAUUCAGCACAUUUGUUUAGCUUGUCAGCAUGUCUCGUGAUGCUCUGCAGAAAUAGCAUGUGCUUGAUUGUGCGCUCCAGCAGUGAAUCAAUACUGCACUGUUCAAUUAUCUUGAAAUUCUCAGCACAUAUGAAGGUAAGAGAUUACAUGAAAAAAUUUGCAAGCCAUCAUAAUUCGAAAACUCGGCAGGGAGAAUGGAUUGCAUGAGAGAUACCUUUGACCCAUUUGGCACAAGCUCUCUCAGCUCCUUUAUACGAUCUUGAAUUAAUUGUCUGUCCCUUGGCCUAGGCCUACAACUUUCACCAGGUCUAGCCCUCUUUUUGUUGACCUUAGAUGGUUCUGCAGACCGCUCCAACUGCUCACUACAUGAACUUGGACAAAUUGAUGAAAUCCCCUGCUGAGAUGUUACACCACAUACCUCUGAUGAUUUGAAGCAGUUUUGUGUCUCUUCUACAAGAGAGGACUGAUCGAUUGAAUAACCUGCUGAAGUAACAGUAUGUAUAGUAUGGCUAGAAGGCUCUGGAAUUUUUUCAGUUGUCAACAGAGAUUGCAUUGACUGACAGAAUGAUUUCUCACUUUUAACAUCACUACCACUUUGGCAAACUUUAGCUACCACUGCCUCUAGAAGAUUCUCCGAUCCAGAAUCUGACGUCAAUUGGCUGCUGCUCAUCCCCUCUGGCAACUCAAUAGUUGUCUCGGUUUCAGCCUUCUCUGUUUCCCAAUCACAAUAGUUGCUCUGUUUCAGAAAAGCUGGACCUAAUGCUUCAUGCAGCUCACUACCAGCAGAGAACCUUAAAGAUGUAUAUGAUGUGUCCACAUGACUCAAUUCUGAUGGGAACUCCAACUUCUUUUCCAAAUUUUUUUGGAGUUGCAUAUCUGAAGGAUCCGGUAAGUGCAAUACCCCAUUUUCAUGACAAUUGACACCAUGAAGCUUAAUUCUAUUACAAUCCACAGAAUCAAAGAAACCAAAAGGGAAGCAUGCAAAAUCUACUUGAGACUUAUCGGCUGCAAGUGCAGUGCUACAUGAAUUAAUAUUCUCCAUAAAGGAAUUGUAUGGAUAUGAGGUGUCAUUGUGUUCAGAACUCACAUCCGCAUCCCUCCAACCACUAGCUUCUUCACGCUUUGUGUUACUAAUCAGUUUCAUUUGCACUUGUUUCUGACCCUCCAAAACAAAGUUUUCAGAUCUUGGCUGAAGAAAUUUGGUGCUUUCAUCACUCUGCGAUGAGGAUAAUUCAAGCCCUCCAUCCUUAUUGAACAUGUUUACUGCCCUGUUCUGAUGGAUAGCAGGCAGCUGAAAAAUGAAAGAACUAUCAUUGUGUUUCCCAAAAAUUGGGAACAUAGGAGACCAUACAUUUGGCCUUUCUUUGUGUAUGCCUUUAUCUAGAUUGAAUAGGCUAUCAGGGACUAUAUCUGAAGCAGAACCUCUUGUAGAUAUAUCUGACUGAGCAAAAGAAGAGCACCAUAAAUGCUGGCAUACUAUAAUAGUUAACAUGAAUGGCACGCACGCACACUGACACACUCACACACACUCACACACACAUGCCUGCAUACAGUUAUCAGAAGCAGAACUUGUAGAUAUGUUUGGCUGAGAAAAACAAGAGCACCAUAAAUGCUGGCAUACUAUAAUACUUAGCAUGAGUUGAUGUGCAUGCACUAACCAUACAGAGAGAGAGAGAGAGAGAGAGAGAGGUGAGGUACCAUAGCUAAAGAGCUCUUCAUACUACAUUGAAUAGGAUGAGGAAUAUAAGCCACUGAAGAAUCUUGAAGUGCAAAGAAGACAUCUUUGAUGCGAGACACCAGCUUCAAAUCCUCAACAACCUGCUUUCCUCAAGUGAAGGAAAGAACAGAUAAGUAAAUGUAGGUUUAAAUGAUGCAUAGAUUAUGACUUAAGAGACUUGAGGUUGUAUGUCGCAUUGCAGAGAUCCAUUAUAACAAAAUUAAUGCAUACAUUUAAAAGUUCUAUUCUAACAAAGGGAGAUAUUGCAUAAGACCAAGCACAAAGUAUGGUAAUAAACUCGAUACUAGAAAUAAAAGCAAUGUUGAAAACUUGGAGCAACAAAUGCAAACAUUCGUCUUUAAUAAGUAGCCACACUGCCCAGGCAACCAAAAAAGGUGAGGUGAAAAUUUGUGGUGCAUAGCAACUAUUUAGUUGUUUAACUAAUCAACGAUUGGAAGAUUGCUCAUCAACUCAUGCAAAUCGAGUAAAAGCUCUCGCUUUCUAGUGGUGUCCACACUGCCAGCUGCUUGGGAUAUUACACUUACAGGUUCCAUUCCCAUAAGGCAUUUUCAACUGUUUUAGUGAACCAGACAACAAUGUGACAUGGUCCACAUAGUAAUAAGUUUGUUGUCAUCAGUACCAUAUUCUAGAACAGAUGUCAGACGUUCCAAAAAUUGAUUCUUGAAGCCUCAUACAAAUAUACUUCAUUUUGUAAUCUGAUUUGAAAGUUGAACAAUUCUCAAGCAGGAUAUUGUUUAAAUUUAACCAGAUCACCUUUACAGUAUGUUAAGUUUACUGACAUAGGAUGUUAUGGAUGCUUGCAAUUGUCGCUUUUAUCAAUUAUCAUACACCCGCUUCAAAAUACUAGAGAAGCAACAGAUAAGUGCAUUGCAUUUCAGAAAAGUUAUUAAAGAAAAAAACCAAAAAAAAAAAAAAUGGAUCCAACAACCAAUCAGAUUUCAAAAAUGAGCUACCAUGCACGAUUUGUCAAUGCAACAAAUGGCUAGAAAUUAUCUUACUUGCUGUAAAGAGCCAAGCUGUACAACUCCAUGUGGAACAACAGCCACAACAACAAUGGUCUGCACAACAAAGGAAAAUGGUUUAUGUCAACAGAAUGUCUCUGUACAGUUAAGACAAAUGCCAAGUAUAAGGCAAAACAAACUAAAUGUAGUAGAAAAGGUUCCCUAAUCUAAGAAUUUUAUCUUGAAUUGUAUAGCCAUCAAUCCAUUAUUUAUGAAUCAAUAAGAGAAGUCCUAAACUUUUUCCUAUUGAGUAAAGAACUUCGAAGAAAUGAUGGAAUGUAUUCAAUCACUAAGGUGAAUGAACAAAACCAUGGAAAUAAACAUCAGGAGUAGAAAUUGUUUAUAAAUCAUCAUAUCGAUGCGAAUAUGACAAAAUCUAAUGCAAUUCUAACUGUCCAAGGCAGUAAAUUCACUUUUGACAUUAAAAAAAAGGCACUACUUGGGUGCGAAAAUGACAGUAUGUUGACCCAAACCUACCAAAAGUUGCAUCCCUUGCACAACCCUAAUCCCCACAGUGAUGCCUCGAAAAGAAAAAGGAGCAUCUCAAUAGAUAAAACUUUCACUACAGAGACUAAAAUGCAACUACGUGCAACUACAUAAUAUUCUUACCAUUGAAAGGCCAUCAUCUGAUGGGUUCAGCAUCAACUGUGUAUGUGUAAGGUGGCUACCAAUCAUAAAUCUAAUAUUUGCAGGUUGAUAAUGAGUAAGAAGGAUGCACAAAAAAAAAACGAGAAUUUUCAAGAUAAACAUAUUUGACAUGAACAGCUCCAAGAGGUGAAAGAAUGAAAGGACAGCCAAAUCAAAUAGCAUAAACAUCUAAGAGAGACGGGAAACAACAUCACCAGUGAGAAGUAGUACAGGUAUCUAAAAUGCUGGUGGAGGACAAGGUGGAGGUGUUGAGGGUAGAAAAGGAUAUAAAUGAGUUAGAUUUAAAAUAUUAGAAUGGAGGUAAAAAUGGGGAUGAAAGAGUUCCAGUUCAAAUUCAAGUAGUUUAGAAAAGGCAUUACAGAUUUAUGGUGACCAGGAGGACAUUAAAAAGGCAACUAGUUAAAUCCACUACUCUUCUGAUUCUCAGUUCAAGGAUUAAAAUAGGUUCACAAUAAGCAGCUUUCAUCAUGCUGGCUAUGCCACAGCCUGUAGCCCAAAUGUAGAUUAAAAAUAAAUGUAGUGAAAACCACCAAAUGACCAUAAUAAUUCAAUAGAUCAUUCUUCUUUACUAUUAGUGGAAGUGUAUUAACAUCAGCCCAUAAGGGCCAGUAAUUAGAUUGGCUACUUUUGUUUUUUUCCAUAUCCUGACAAUAACCAUAAAAAUGCCCCUAAAAAACUGUUUGCUAGCCUGUGCAUAUGAAUGUCUCCAUAUGAUAUCAUUCAUCACAACAAAUAAAAUAAAUUACAGAGAGAAAACAUACCUUAAUCCCAGCUGAAAACUGUGCUUGCCACCCAUCACAGUACUGGAAAUCAACCAAAAAUCAUGAAUAAGAAAGAAAAAAAUUGCAAAUAAUCAGUGCAGUAAUAGAACCUAAUCCAUUUUCCAGUGUAAUCACCUCAAAUGAUGAAGAGGAAUUAGUUGUAUGCUUAUCUGAAAAAAUCCACUGAUGCUUUCCAGUAACUGCCACCUGUCCAACAAUCCUGUUCAACAAAGGACUAAUGUGAAAACUACAACAGAAGGUCUUUCCUGGACUUGAAUUGUUUUGAAUUUGAACUAUUACCCCCAAUGAGAACAGUAUAGACAGGUAAUGAACCUGUAAGCAUAAUUGGACGAGAAUGAUAAUUGAUAAAAGAUAUUUUAUAAUUUUAAAUCUGCCCAAUUAAUGCUGACUUGAGUAAGGAGAUGUAAUUGGAAAAGAGAGUGACAUGAUGCAAGACUGCAACAACACCGAUAUAUAGAUGAUAACUUCUAAUGACAAUGGAUAAUUUCCAUUAGGUAAAACUUUCUUCCCACCAAACUAUAUGGUCCCAGUCAAGCUAUUGUACUAUGGCAGGUGAAAGAUAAAUCAGUUAAGAGACAUACCCUUCCCCUAGAGAAUACACAUGAUAUGACAUCUUUGCCACAGCCAACCCAAGAGCAUCAUGUGAAUAGUGCCCAUCAUGCAAGGUGUCUGGUGUCUUGCUGAAGCACUUAUCCUCCAAAGGAUCAUGUUGGUCAUGGUUGUCAUAGUAAGCAUCCUCCCAAGUCAACACCCUGCAAGAAAUUCCAUAUGCCAAAAUGAAAAAGACAGGAACAUUGUAAGAUGUUUAACUCCUGAAAAGGCCUAACUCCUAAUCUCAAUGCUCAACCACAACAAAAAAUUCUUCCAACAUGCAUGCACACACAAGAAUAAACCAUGUUAACAUUCAAUUCCAUGAAAAAAUUAUUAUACACAAUAAUAAGUAGACAAACUUGAAUUCCUUCAGGUGGAGACAUGAUGCAGGUACCAUCUAAAAUCACAGGCAAGCCUAAUAACUACAAUUAUAUAUAUAUAUAUGUAUUUUUUUUUUUUAAAUCAGAAGCCUAAUAACUACAAUUGCACCUUCCAUUUGACAAGCCAGAUCCAAUUGAAGUAUUCUUUCACCAGUAUAGACAUUAUAGCACCCAUUCAUUUUCUUUGGAAACAAAAUUAUAAUUAGAAGAUAUACUAGCUCUAAUCCAUCCCAAAAUUUUACAUAUACCUAGAUGUAUAACACAUGAUCAUCGACUUGCAAGCCUCAAAUUCCAGACUUGAAAUAUGCAAUUUACAAGCCAUAUUCUUGCAACUGAAAUCUAUUUGUAGUAAACAAAUAAGAACACAUAAAUUAAAACAUUACAGUUAUCAUAGAAAGAGGUUUUGAAUUCAUGAAUUGAAAUCAAAAUUCUCAUUCGCAGUACAUUGGAUUAGCCAAAUUUACGACCAAAUUUUGAGAAACCCCACACUUCUCAAUCUUUUCAAUGACCCAAUCGAAUUCCCUUCAAUGUCAACAGAAUUUCCUAAUAACUGGUUCAGAUUUCCAGAAAAAUAUAAUGUUGUGUUUUCCAUUUUUUUGUUCAUGAACUUUGAAAUAACCAAUUAACCUAACCUAGUACAAUUAUUUGCCGAGUAAAGUUGAGCUUUAUCUAGAACUACAAGUUUCUUCUCUUUCUGAAAUAAUCAACUCAAUUAAAUCCAGUACAAUUAUUUGCUGAAUCAAUCAACCUUUUUAAUUUCCUAAAAACCCAAACAAUGAAACAUCUAAAACCAGAAUUCCCUUUCCAAGCCAUUAAAUCAGGCAAAACUAUUGGCUGAGUUCGUUGCUUUUCAUUUUCUUAAAAAGCACACAACUAAACAUCUAAAACUACAAUUUCCACUCCUUUUAAUAUAAUCAACUCAGUCAAUCUAGCACAAUUAUUGAAGGAGUUAGUCAAGCUUUGCAUUUUCUUAGAGAUCAAAGCACAAAACCCAAAGCACCAAUACCCUUGUUUUUCUUCUCCUGUUUUCUCAACUACGAAACGAAGUGUAUAUGCAUGAAAGACACGAAAAAGGGCUAGAAGAUAAGAGAAGCAAAGAAUCAACUUACAUGCGAGCCCGAUGUUUGAGUUUCCAAAAGACGGCGUACUUCCACUCAGUAUUGAAACAGAGGCUUCUCAGCGUUUGCUGCAAGUCAGUAGCCAUCUCUUCACCCCCUCAAAAUCCUAAUACGCCCCUAAAAUUUCCUUCAAUUGGGUCAACCAAACCUCCAAAAAAAAAAGCUUAAUUUCCUGCGAUUUCCAUCUGCCCCUAGCUCCCCCUGUAAGAUCCUCUACCCGCCUGUUUAAUCCGCAACCCAGCUCGCCGCUUUAUUGGCGGUCCUACCGUCGGCAGGAGCAGCCGAUCCAUCACCCCCCUCCCUCCUUCCCCCCCUCUACCCAAAAACCCAAACUCAAUUCACUCAAAGUCGCUCAAACAACUGAAAUCACGAUACCGACAAUCAAGAUUUCGAAACAGAGCAACAACAAGAUACAGUUUCCACACUCAGCCAUUAGAUUGUCCGGACACUGUUCCUCUUUUCCACCACAGUCUGUAGCGAAAUGUAGGGAGCACAACAAUGCGAAGACUAGCUUAUAUCGAACGACAUGGAGGAUGAAAAUCCGAGCUCCAGGGAGAUCAACUUACGAAGAAGUCACAAAAUUGAAUUGAAUAGAUGAAUGAAAGUUUCAGAUGGGAACAAAAAGCAUUGCCAAGUGGUGCCCUAGUGCAUCAAGAGUGGAACUCGACGCUUUGGCUGAGUGAGAAAUGAGAAGCAGAGAUGAAUUCAGAGGUGUGAGCCACAUGUGGUGCCAUUAUAGAGAGAGAAAGAAGAGAGAGAAAGCACCUAAAAGGGAGGCUAGAGAGAGAAGUAGAAAGAAAAGCCUCAAAGCUUUUCUUUUGCUUUGUAGAGAGAGAAAGCAGACCAAGCCGUUUGCUUUUGAGAGAGAGAUGGAGAUGGUGAAUAAAAUUAUAAAAGAGCUAUUUUUUGUUUGAUACCUGGCUUAUAUAUAGCUGUUAUAUGCUGCGCCAGGUUUCUAUCUUACGCAGGAUGCCCCCAGUACGCACCCCCUCAAUGGACGCUCCUCCAUUAUCCUCCUGCCCAUCAUGCUUACCCUAUAAUUCACUUCUCUUCUGCGGCUUGUCGUCACUCGCCACCCACUAAUUCCCCACUUAAAUUACGAAAUCGCCACUAAACUCCACUCCUCACUUGUUACUCCUUUUAUCCUACGCACCAUGCUCACCUUAGCAUCCCCCUCCCCCCACUCCCACGGCCUACGCUUCACUUUAGACCUUCACCUCUGCCUUUAUAAAACAGAAGCACCCCCCCACUAGAAGUCACACGACAGUGAGUUUAUUUAUCCUUCACAUCAUGCUUACUUUAGAAACCCCCAUUAAAUUACAAAAUUACCCAACAGUAGCUGAUUUGGAGGGAGAGGGAGAAAGAGUAUUAUUAAUGGAAAGGAGAGAAGACAAAAUUUUAAAAUAAUAAAAAAAAACCCAAUAGUUGCUAAUUUGGAAGGGGAGAGAGAGAGAGACACACACAGGGCCAAAGGAAGAUGAGUGGCCUGAGAAUCUGAGAUGGGGAGAGGGGGAGAGAGAGACUUAUUAAUGGAAUGAAAAGAAAAAUUUCAAAAAAAAAAAAAAAAAAAAGAGAAGAAAGUAAAGAAAAGAAAGAAAGAAAGAGAGAGAGUGAAAAACCAUUCAAUUCAAGCGAGUCAUUGAUGGCAAACAGCAUAAUGUCAAUGUUAGGGAAAAUGCUUCUUAUCCUCUUUCAAAAUCAAUGAACUUACCCUUCACAAGCCCUUUUCAAACAAUGAUUCUACUGCUAAAAGUUGUGACACCCUACACCUCAAUUACCAUUGUCCCCCCCUUUUUUUUCUCUUUGUGCAUUCAUAUUGAUCUCUUCCUCCUCCCCCUCCUCCUAUAUCUGCCCUCCAAGUGUGCCCAUCAAGUGGCAUUCAAUUGCUAUGAUUGGACCAUUUGGAACCACCAUAAUGCUCACAUUUAAUUUCAUUCCACCUCUCUCCCCCAAAUCCUCCUUUCCCUUUACUCAUGGGGGCUCAUAACAUGUCUUGUUUUGUUUAUUCUCCUUGUGCCUCACCAGCUCUACAUCCUCUUUCAGAUCCCAUGAUUCCAACUUAACACCAUACCAUCCCAUUUUCAUGGAUUUAUUAAUUUCUACUCAUUUUCUCCUUUUUUUUUUUUUUAGCCUUUCUCUUUGGGAGCAGGUUGAUUAUUUUUUCUUUUCAAUGAAUUUUUUUUCCUACCCAUCACAACAAACAAUAAAAAGUAAAGUUGGGAGGAAGAGGGAAGAGGAAAGCAAAAUGAUCACAUGAUCAAUCAUCCAAGAGAUCCCAUUGAUUAACAACCUUACUUUAAUUGAAAAAGAUUCAAUUUGUCGGAAAGUAAUAGAAAGAAAUUCCACCUAGUUUUAUAACAAGUAUUUUUUUUUUCUUUUAUAUAUAGGUCAAUGACGUUGAUCUUUUUCUUUGUUUUAUCAUUUUUACAUAUUUUUCUCAUUUUGAUCAUUUCAUUUCAAAUGUUAGAGUUUUUAGGUCAAACCAGUCAUCUACAAGCUUAACCAAAAGUAAUCAUAUAAAAAUAAUUUAAGACAAAUUAUAUCUUAUUAUUUUCUUAGAUGUUGAAAAGAUUUUUGAAUCAAUGUUGAUGAUUUAGCAAGGUUAAUUAUCUUUUAAGGAAUUAAUGGGCAUUAGGGUUCAUUGAAUGAAGUCAAAACAUACUUAAUUAUGCAUGAAGAAGCUAUAAGUAGUGAUGCAAAUGAUAAGUCAUUUUCCCAUACAUAAAAGAAAACAGGGAAAGGAAUGAGUAGUAUCAUGAAUGCAAAGAGACAAAGGACAAUCAUAUCUUCUCUUUGCUUCCUCCAUUCUCCAUUCUCUAAUAAAAUGCAAAAAAAAAAAAAAUCAAAACCCUAAUUAAAUAUACCCAUACUUAAUCAGAUGGUCUCAUUACUAUAUGAGGUAAGUCUUAUGUAAGGUUGCAAAAUAUAAAGCUAAUGCAUUUUUUUUAUUAGGGUUUCAAUAUUAAUACAUUUAGAUUCCAACCCUAGCUACCCUUGAUCAUUAAUCUCUAUCAUCUCUCUCUCUCUCUCUCUCUCUCUCAUAUAUUCAUUGGAAACCAAUAUCACCUAAGUAGAUUUUGUAGCUCACCUUUUUACUAACAUGUAAUCUCUAGAGAGAGACACCAUAGUCUCCCUAGUCAUGAGUGAGGGUUUGAUAUCUCUCCCCAAAGUCAAUAUAGAUGGGCUUGAAAAUGGAUACCUAUUUGAUUGUAUAUGUGACACUAGUGGCCAUUACCUAAAUAAACUAUGCUAUAUAAUUAGUAAAAGAAAUUGCAGAUCCAUGAUCAUCAACUCUAUCAAUUGGGUCUCCUUGUAAUAAGAAUGAGAAUGAGACCCGAAAAUACCAUUGAACCUUUCAUCAGAAAGCUCCUUGAGAGCCCAUCCUUACUGGGGUUUUCUGUUUCAUAAAGAAAGGAUUAGGGUUUAGUCACCUCAUCAUUCUCACAACAAGUCUACGGACAUAUAUAUACACAUCUAUAGAAAGAGAGAGAGAGAGAGAAGGAGAAUCCAAUGAUGAAUAGCACUGUAAAGAUACAGAAAUCAAAUGAUUUUCCAUCUUAUAAUAUAGUCUAAAGAUUUUUAGAAGCAAGGUCACGUAGUAAUCAACUGAUAUAUAUGGCCAUCAAAUCAAGAUCAGCCCACCACAAACAUAUAUUAAUUUGCAGUGUACGUGAACUCAAAAUUCAAAGAAAUUUUCUCCUACUUCCAUGAAAGUCCAUGGUCUUUUUAGGGCUGCUGAUGCUACUGCCGUGGGUACGAAAUAGCAGUAAAAUGAAAGCAAACCAUUGCUUCUACAUGAAAUAUAGUGAUUAUCAACAUUACAACAACUCUCAUUCUCUGCCAUUUUUCCUGUAUCAGAUCAUUAUUACACUAAGUGAAGACUUAUGCUUCUAAUCAGUAUACAUAUUAUGAAGCAAUCCCAUUAUAUAUCAGAAUGUAAUGAAGUUUAUUAUUACUGUCAGCAAUAAUCAGAUGGAGUGGCUGUGAAUGAUGGAAUUAUUGUAACGAAAAAAGUCAAAAAAUGGAGUGUUUUAGAAUACUGGAAAGUGCUUUUCUACCUACCAUGGAAGGCACAAACUAAGUGUUUGUAACCACAAGAAAUUCUGGGAGGAUUUGGUGCUUAAUCCAAUUGAUACUAGGAAGAUAAUAAAGGUGUUUUAGUGGCAUUUGUGGGAUAUUUAAUUAAUAAACUAUAUAUUUAAAGAAGGGGUUAGAGGCCAUCAAUGAAAAGCUUUUCUUUUUCCCCCCUUUUUUUUUUCCUCUUCUGUUUGGCUCUCCAGAAAGUGAAUCAUGUCCACCAUUUUAGUAGGAAAAGAUCCGCAUCAAUUAAAGUUUUAGGUUGUAGCUGAAGUGCUUUACACUUGUAUAUAUCACUGGCUAACUUGGAUUUGAUCUCCUUUCACAUACUGUAGAGCUGGAGAGAGACUCUAGUCCCAUUCUCACCUGUUUCCAUUAUAAAUUCUUGAUGGGUUUUAUUUAUUUAUUAAUUGUUUUUUUUUAAAUCUAGGAAUGGAAAUUUACAUUUUUUUUUUCCCACUCUUAAUGUCACAAAUUGAGGUAAAAAUUAUAUUUUCUAAAUAAUGAAAUCUUCUAUUAAAUUAGGAAAAUGUUGAGUUCAUAUCCACUUGUCACUUUUUAUUAUUUAUUUUUAUUUUUAUCCUAUUCAAAUUCUUAUUUACACAUGUUUAUAUGAAAUUGGGAUUAAGAAGGGAAUUUUGAAAUUAAAAUGCUGUAAAAUUUUAAAAGUCAUUUUUCUACGCAUUCAUAUAUUUAAAUAAAGUUUUAUUUGAGGUAACUUCCUAUUUUUAGCUUUAAUAAAAAAAUUGAAGUAAACUAAAGUCAUAAUUUUUAAAAAUUAAUAUUAAUAUUGUAAAAUUUUUAUUAAAUGUAAAAAAACUUUUUAUAUGAGUCAAACUAUUUUUUUUUUUUAAAAUAACGAGUAUGUAAGGUAACUAUUUUCAAAAAUAGUUUUUAAGAACACUUUUAUAAUAUUUUAUAGAAUAAAAAUAUGUUUGUAAACUUAAAAUGUUUUUAACAUGUUUUUAAAUACUUUUAAAUAUGUUUCAGAAAUAAAUUUUAUGUCUAGUGUUUUAUUUUUAACAUUUUAUAUAUUUAUAUAAUUAUAUUUUAAACAAUUCUAAAAAAAAGUAAAAAUAUGUAAAGAAAAUAGAAAACAGUUUUUACUUGUUAAACACAUUUUUUUUAUUUUUUUAUUCUGAAAUUUUUUCUUGAAAACCGUUCUCAAAUAACUUAUUAUAUUUUUCUAAUUUUCAUAUUAACUUAUUUUAGGUCAUAGACCCUUUGAACCAAAUUAUGCAAGCAAGCAAGAGCUCUUAAUGAGCUUAAAAAAAGAGUUUUUAUUUCUCAAAAAUCGAUCCAAACAGGACUUGACCAUUCCCAAUAAUAACAAAAUUAUUAUUCUAAUUAAUAAAAAAAAAAUAAAAACUAUGAUAAUAAAAGGGGUCAUUCAUUAGAAAACAAGUCUCUUUAAAUUAAAUUGUCUAUAACCAAAAGUAAUGAUCUUUUUGUGAUCUUUAAUUACUCCAUGUAUCAAAAAAAAAAAAAAAAAAAAUUAUACACUCUAAAGGAAAAACUAACAUUGAUAGAUGAUGAACUAAUUUGGUGCAAGUGUAAAAUAAUUUAAUAAUAUUUGAAAACUGCAGCACUCAAUGAAUUUACAUGACCAAAAAAAAAGCUGGGCAUGAUGUGGAAUUCACUAAGAAGAUAGAUAAUGGGCAUUAAUUUUUGUCACAACACUCAAAAAAAAAAAAAAAAAAAAAAAAAAGGAAGCUCAAACACCCAUAAUGAUUUGAUAUUGAAUUCACUCUAUAGAGAGAAUCCAGAAACAAAUUCAUGGGUCUCCACAACAGUCAAUUAAGCAGCCAGCUGGUUACUUUGUCACUGUAUUCUUUGAUGAUGAUGAUGAUGGAGUAUCUAUUAUUAUGGAACUUAAUGAAAAAGGAGAAAUAUUGUGCAAUCUUUUCCAUGUCCAAUUGGACCAUGUAACCUUAAUUUAUUCGUCACUGCAAGCAUAAAGAGGGACAAGAAUGGUAGAUGGACCCAUGAAAAAGGUUACCAGAAGAAAUUUUGGUUUUUUAAUUUAAUUUAAUUUUUUUUACAUUUAUUUUUAUUUCUUUUUAAAGAUGUGAAAGGGAAACCAAAUCAUGUAUUAUUUAUGUAAUAAUUAUGAUGGACCAAGUCCAAGCUCUGUUGGCCUUGUUGAGGUAACAAGGGAUUGGAUGGGAUGGGAGACAUUGAAAUAUUUUUAUUUAUCAAAAUAAUGAAAUAGGAUGAAUUUAAUUUAUUUUAAAGGAGGACUUAUAUUAAGUUAUUCACCUCUACUUAUUUUCAUUCAUUUUUAUCUUUUCCCCUUUUUUUUCUCUCCUUAUAAUAUCCAUAAAUAAUUAAUAAAUACCUCAAUUUUUUUUUUAAAAGUCAUUAUUCUUUAAAGUAAAUCAGAAAGAGUUGUUACAUUUUAUCAAGGAGUUAUUAUCAUUUUAUGUUUAUAAAAAUAGAAAAUAAGAUGGUAUUUGAUAUUUUUUUCUUAAUUCUAAAUAGAACUUAAAACUAAAUAGUUUUGAGUAUUAAAUUGUUUACUUUUGUAAUAUUGUAUUUUUAUUAAGGAAUAAAAGUUAAAAAAAAACCAAUAUAUUACUUUUUUUAUUUAGAAAAAUGUAAAUAUUUUGAUUUUUUUUAAUUUGAUAAAAAAAUUAUAAUAAGUUAUAAAAAAGUAGAAAAACCAAUAAUAUAAAAUCUGAAAGUAAAUUGCUUUUAGUAAAAAGUUAAAAAAACAAACAUCCUCUAAAAAAAUAUAUCCAAACAAUGUUUAAAUUAAUUUUAGUAAUAAUAAAUUGAUAUCGUGGCUAAAACCCCGAGAAAUAUUACAUGAUAUAUCAUUUACGACUUACUAGUAAUUAGGAAUCAAAGAAAAAAAAGAGAGAGAAAAGCAAAUUACUUUUUUUUUUUGUUUUUUUGCUUUUGAUUUUUACGAAAAUGGGCUGGAAAUUGAUUGAAUUGAUGAAGAGGAGUUGAAUUAAUGUCUCAUUUUUCAGGUAUAUUGCAAUGAUAAGAUGCAAUUGACUCCUGUUGAGAAAAAGCAAAAGAUAAAAACGAGAAUGUGAUUCGCAUGGACUAUUCCAAAAACUCAAAAGCUCAGAGUAUGAAUAAAUGUAACUGCUCAAUGCUCAUCAUCAUAUUCAUAGAUUGUAAGAGAGAGAGGCAGUGGAAAAAGGCUUGUGAAUGUAAGCGCUUUUUUUUUUCUCUUUUGUCAACUUUAUUCAUAGGGGGAGCAGAGUCAAACCAAUGGUGGGCUAAGUGGCUCCUUUUCCAGUGUGCAAUCACCUUAUUAACUUGGUGCCACACUGCAAUCAUGUGAUACCAUACCAUACCAUAGUUUUGAGUAUCCGGGAAAAUAAAAAUAAAAACAAAACAUAGUUGGAACUAUUUUCAAAACCUUUCUAGAAAACAGUCUUUGAUAAUUAUUUUUAAAAAUUAUUUUAUAAUAUUUUAUAAAAUAAUAAUCUGGUUCGAGACGCCAACCAUUUUUAAUAUUUUUAAAUAUAAUUUUUAUAUUUACUAUUUUAUUUUUAAUAAUUCUACAUAUUUAUAUAAUUAUUUUUUAAAACAAUUCUUAUAAAACAAGUGAAAAUAAUUAUUUUAUGAAAUAAAAAUAAAAAAACAGAUUUCUGGUUAUCAAAUGUAUUUUUAUGCUUUUUUUUUUGUUAAAUAGAGCAGUAAGAUUUGCUUAUAAAUUAUUUUUGAAAACUGUUAUAUAAUAUUUUAUAAAAUAAAUAUUUAUAAAUAAUUUUUAUAUGUAGUAUAUCUAUAUAAUUAUUUUUAAAAUAAUUGAAAAUAGUCAAAAGAUGUUUUAUAAAAACAUUUUAUUUUUUUGUUUUAAAAAACAAAAUUGUUUUCUAUUUAUUAGUUUUUAUUUUAUUAUUAUACAUGUUUUUUUUUUCUGGGAACAGAUUGUUUUCAAAAAUAGUUAUAAAUUAGACUUUAACUUAAUUUAUUUUAAAAACAAAUUAAUGGAAGUAAAAAGAAUCUGAAACUAUUUAUCAAACUAAUGUUUAUAGACCACCUGGAUUGAAGUUUUUAUUUGUUUAUUUAUUUAUUUACAUAGCUAUCGUCUUUUUUUUUUAAAUAAAAAAAUUACUUUCUUUAAUGUACUCCAUAGCCAUCCAUAAGAGGAACAAAUUUUAGGGACCAUCUCUAUACGGGAAAAUAAGUAGAUUUUUUUUUUUUUUUAACUAUCAUUUGAAAAAAAAAAAAGACAAAGUGGAUACUAUUAUUAUUAUUAUUUUAUUAUAACUAAAUCUUAAACAUACAAUUUUUUAUAUUAAAUUUUAAUUAACUUCUAACCCAAGAAAAAUGGAGAAUAACCCAUAGACAUGUUACUUCCUUCAUGUGGAAUAAAUGUUAAGAUGAGUGAAGUCUAACUAUUAUCUUAAUAAUAAGGGUAUUUUAAGUUGAGGUAUUUUGGGAAUUUUAUGUAUGCAAUUUGGUUAUUUUAUUUAUAUUAUGCUUAAAGUAGCUAAUUUUAAGAGAAAAUUUUAUUUUUGACGUAUUGAGAGAUGAAAAAACGUAGAGAGAAAAAUCUAGAAAGUGAGAUAUUUUGGGAUUCUCUUAUAUUUUUUUUUUAUCAUAGUGACAUACAUAACUCUCACAUUGAAAAUGACUAUAAAUUUCAUGUGUUCUUGUAUUUUAUUUUCGACAUUGAUUUAUUGUCUUUUUGUAACUUCCAAUAAGGAAUGAAAGUAAAGAAUGUACCCACAAAAAUUUGGAGAACGAAAUUCUAAAAAUGGAAAAUUUGCUUUUAAGAAAACGAUUUCUCAUCCUGUCUUUUACAAAAAUGGGUGUUAGCCAUUCACCAUCACCCAUUCGUCCCUUCUCCUUACCAUCACUACCAAAAUUAGCAAAUGAAUUUUUUUUUUCUUCUGACUUUUAUAAUUAAAAAGCCCAUCUUAAAAAUUAUAUUUAUUCUCAAUUAAAAUAAAUUAAAAAUUAGAAAAUAUAAAUAUAAAAUAUUAGCACAAUUACUUACAUUUUAUUUUUUAUUUUUUAUAAAUAUUUGUGCAAUUAAAUAUUUAAUUUCAUUUGUUAUGUUUAUAUAUUUUAGACCUUUUCCCCCUACUCCAUUUCAUAAAGUUUAAUAAUGAAUCAUUAAUGAGUUGAAAUUAAACAAUAACAUGAUGAUUAUAACACAAAAAAAAAAAAAACCAAAAUAUCUGAAAAAUAAUUAUCGAACUUUCAAUCUUGAUCGUUAAAAAUAUAUAAAAACAUUUACACCCAUGAAUGAAAGUAACAACAAUAGAACCAAAGUAUUAAAAAUAUUAGAUUAGACAUUAAAGAUCGGACUAAGUACAAAUAAAAGUGCAUAUGACAAUGAUUUUGGGAAGUAUUUUUAGUCUUUCUAAUACUUGAAAAUUUUUAUUUUUUUAAGUAUUAGAAAUACUAAAAAUACUUUUCAAAAUCAUUUCCAAACGUACUCUAAAUAAGACAAAAGUAUGAAAUAAUGACCCUUAAAUGCGCAUGUGACAUAAUUUGAUUGACUAACAUUUUUUUUAGUAUAAUAAAAUCCCUAUAAAAUAAUAUUUUUGAGACCAAAAGAAAUUAUUAUUUGAAGGGAUUUAUUGAUAAAUGAAUAAUUUAUUAAUUUAUUGAUAAAUAAAUAUUUAUUAAUUUAUAAAAGUAUUAUGCUUCUAUUAAAUAAUAUUUGGACAUGUAUGAUUUAUAAAUUUAAAAAUAAUAGAUCUAAUAAAAAGUUAAUACAUAAAAACCUAAGAUAUGUUUUAAAAAACAAAAGAUGAUUAUUAAUUGUAAAUAAUAAUAAAAUUUUUUAAAACUUAAUAUCUUAAAAGAUAAAAAGGUGUUAAGUAUACAAUUCAAUGAGUGAAUUAAGAAAUAGGAAGUAUAAGAAAUUACUUAAUACAUACUAUAUAUAUAUAUAUAUAUAUAUUAAUUUAUAUUUUUGGGGCUAUAAAAUAUUAUUAUAUUAUAUAUUUAUUGAGAUUAUUAAUUUAGUACACUAACCCAAGUUGGGAUCAAAAGAUUUUAAAUUUUUAUUUUUUUAUUUGAGUUAAGUUAUUAAUUUAUGGAAGUUUUACUAUAGGUAAAUCUUGGAUAUUGCAGUGGGACAAAAAUUGGUAUCAAUAUCGAAAACCUAUCUAAUGGACUGUCAUAGUGAACUUUUGGAUUUAGAUUUAUUGGAUUUUUUAGACCAAAUACUGAUGUAACAUGCAUGAAGAUUGAGUAGAAAUUAUUGAACAAUAUCACAAUAAUUAUCAACAACAUAAGGGCAAGAUUUUGAUGGUGUCACCUUGCACAUAAGCUUCUAACAAUUAGUACAAUCAAGUAUCAAAUUUUUACUUCUUCCUUCCACCAAAACCAACUCAUUUCCAUGUGUUCCAACUGCAGACAAAGCAGUAUUAUCCUUCUUCCCAAACAAGUGAUGUACAUACCUGUCACCUUAUCUCUGGCCUGCAUGCAUGAAAAAGCAUCAACACCAGCCUUGAGGCCAUCUAUUUGCAGGGUCCCAUCUGGGGAACCAUCUCUUUUUCUUCGGGUUUGAACCCAAGGCAGCAGCAUUCUCCUUGUGUGGCGCCCGCAUCAGCUUUGAGAAAAAGCCUUUUCUUCUGCCAUGGCUUGGUGUUGGGGGAUAUGCGGGCUUAGGGGUUGGAGUUUUAGGCAAGUAGAUGAAAUCAUCAUCCUCAGCUGGAAAUAUUUCAUCACGAGUCCGAAUACUAUUGAGCUUUAGGUACCUCUGCUCAAGGGACUCCUUGGGGAUGUCUCUUGCCAACAAGGGAGAUGCACCACCCCAGUUGUUGGAGCCCAAAGAUGGGUGUUGGGGUGUUCUGAAUUCCACUAGUUCUCUUUGCCUCAUCUCCUUUUUCUUUCCACUCCUCUCGAUCGGCUUUUCCAGUACUAUACUAGCAUCUUUGGAAUCUUGGUAUUGUAUAUAUAAAUGGGAUAAUGUUUCCAAAAAAACCUCAUUGUAUUAUGCUCCAAAGUUGUAAGAGUACUAUUACAAUGGCUUACAGGCAUCUCCCAUUGUGUUAAUAUCCACAAAUGUCCUUGGACAACCUCUAGCCAGUUGGAGCAGAAUCCUUGACCCCAUGGGCAAAGGAUGCAUCCAUGGUUCAGUCGUCAUCUGCAAUGGAAUGGAACCACACAUAUGAGAGUACAUAGAUAUUUAAUUGAAAUCAUUAAUGGGCAUACUUCAGAGAUUAGAAAUUAGUCCCAUGGCCUUAACCUUGGGGGAUUCUGUAAUUCAGCAGGAAGAUGAAGGACAGAAAUUGAAACAAGUCGCCAUCAGUUGGCCAAAAAGUCUUGUUGCAGACAAAAGGGGGCGGUUAAUACAAGAACUUGGGUGAUGUUAACAUCCAUUUCUUUUGUAAAAAAGAAAUGUUCAGAUGCCAACUAAAUGGAGGAAACGAAGUCAUCGCCUGCCUAGUUGGUUGGCCUUUCUUGAUUCUGCAACUUCAUAGCAUUUGUUUACAGAUAAUAAACUUUUAUUGAUAACUGAUGGCAAAGAAAAUGAAUAGAUUUCUACAUUGAGUUCUAAUUCCCAAAUUGAAUCAAAUCCUGAGAACUGGUAAACCAAAAAGAAAAAAGAAAAAAAAUAGCAAUCACCUUUAUAGGAAUAAAUUCAGAGGAGUUAUUGUUCAGCUAAUUUAUGCAGAAGGAAAAAAAACUUCGGUGACUUGGACUAUAUCACACGUAAAAAGGGGUAUUUUUGAGUUUCCAUUUGCUAAUAUAUUCUCAAAUAGUCGUUCCAAAGUGGCAAGAUUGCGCGUUCUGUCUGCACAAAAGAAUUGAGGGAGAGCAAAAAGAGCAAGAAGUUCCAAUUCCCAUGACAACAAGUGCCUUUGUAUACACCAUCAAGCAAUAUGCUAGAAGCAGAUGCCUCAUCCCUCUGCACAAAGUAAUCGAAGGAUAAAACAGAUUCUUGUAAUAUAUAUCAUAACCAAACAAGCAUUUUUUUUUUAAUGUUAAUCAACUAAUAUUCCUAAUCUCAAGCCAAUAGAAGUUCACAAUAAUAAGAUGUAUCAUAAUCUAUGUAUAAAAAUGAGAUUUGACCAACAACUCUCAGGGCACAGUCAUGCAGUCUCUUGAGUAAUUGCAUUAACUCAAACAUUUCACAGUUUCACUCUAGUCAUGGCGGCCAACCAUACAAAUUUAUUGAUUCCUUGAUCAUUCUGACAGGCAUUUCUCCAGUCCAGCCACACAUGGGAAAUGUGGCAAGAAUGGUGCAUGCCAAUUGCAAGAAAAAGAAUAUGGACUUCUCUUUUUAUCCUUUUUCUGUUCUCUUUCAGAUACUUCAUUUGACUCUGAACUGUCAAAUUAUUUAGGUACUAUCAGAUCUGAUAAAGAAGAACAUGAUGCUCCACCACGUGCAAUAAACAUUAAGACGCACGCUAACUCUUUCAUUCACCUCUGUUAGUAUAUAUAGGUGCAUAACUCGUAUUUAUGCAAAAUUCACAAAGAAGAAAGAAGUAAAAUGGAUUCAGACUCAAGAGCUGCCCCUGAGGUGUGUGCAUUUGGAGUGAUCUGUAGGAGGUUCAAGCCACAUCUUCUCAUGGUUCUUGUUCACACCUGUUAUACUAUUCUCUAUUUCACAGCAGAGGCUGCCUUUAACCAUGGGUUGAAUCCUCAUGUUAUGGUGACUUAUCGACAUUUCAUUGGUGGUUUAGUGAUGUUUCCUUUUGCCUAUGUACUUGAAAGGUACUUUCUUCUCUAGCUGUGCUUGUAUCUGUGUGCUUUCAGUAAUCUUACCAUGAAUCAAGACUCAUCCAAUUCUCAACCAAGUAUCAAGGAAAAACCUAAACCACAUACUCAUUCUACUUGUACUCUUUUGGGUGAGUUUGACAUGCUUAUGCCCAUAAGCCCUGAAACACAAAUAUUCAAUGCAAUCGAUAUUCCAUGCUAUACAUGGGAGAUGCAGUCUAAUUGCAAUAUAUAGUUGAGAGUAGACCAGCAAAUUUUCUGGUCUCAGUUCAUGAUAAUAAGAACACAUUUUCGUCUACUAUUUUUAUUUUCAUCCUAUUUUCAUAUCAGUAUUGGAGAAGAGAGUCCUAUGAUAAAGUUUUCAUGUUUUAUGGCAGGUUUAUCAUUUGAUAUUUGUUUAUGUUUCCUUGCAGGAAAGUAAGGCCAAAGCUGACGCUAGCCUUGUUUGCAGAGAUAUUUGUGCUUUCUCUUUUUGGGUAGGAUAUCUGGGUGCUACUUUCAGCAUAACAUAAAAGAGAUAGUGAGUUUUUCAGUUCGUCUAACAAAGGAAAAACACUGACUGUUCCUCUCCCCCGUGAAAACAGGAUUGGCUUAACGCUUAACAUGUACUUUGCAAGCUUGACAUACACCUCACCAACCUUUCUAGCGUCGAUGGUUAACACCAUUGCAUCCUUGACUUUUGUAAUGGCAAUUAUUCUCAGGUGAGAUUUUGACUCCCAGUCUUACUUGAUUUCAGAAUUUCUAGUCAUUACUAGAAAGAAACCAUCGAAUUCUAAUUUCUAUUUCAUUCCAUGCAGACUGGAACAUCUUGAUAUUAGAAACCCUAGAGGAUUAGCCAAAAUCCUUGGGACCUUAUUUUCCUUGGUGGGGGUCAUGAUCAUGACAUCUUGCAAAGGACCUGUAAUAAGAAACUUGAGCAGCCCUCUAAUCCACAUCGGAAGAAAUAAUAUGCAUGAGAACUGGACGAAAGGGUCGAUUCUAACAGUAGCAAGUUGCAUAACAUGGUCUAUUUGGUACAUUAUGCAGGUAAAUUACUCUUCAACUAGCACUUUCUAUUGCACUAUUGUCCAGAUUGGGACAUGGAUUAACAUAUCCCCCCUGCAAAAACUUGCAAACCAACUAUAGAUGAGACUGCAGGAAAUAGAACAGAAUAAAAAAAUGUCUCAUAAAGAUGUUGGGAUUCUUAAGCUAAUAAGGCCAUGGAAGCAAUAAAGUAGAUGAAAGGAUGUAGAGCAGAAACACACAAGCUUCUAACCAUUCAACAUUCAUGAGCAAAUUAGUAUACAUGAUAAUGAUUAAAACUCACUUACAAGGGCAUAAAAAUAAAGAGAGAUAUAAUGAUACAAGUUCAUUGAGAAAUUUAGAGUAAUAGAUAUAAACAAAGUGGGCAACCGAUCGUGUUAAAGUGGAAAAAGAACAUAAUCAAUCCAAGUGUUCUAUUUUGAGAAAUAAAUUCAGAAGGAAGAAAAAAUACCUAAUAAAGAAUUUCCCUUCCAAGAACAAAUGAUGCAGAGUACAAAUGUGAAUACUGUAGGCAUUUACUAUGAAGAGAUAUCCUGCACCACUGUCAAUUACUACAUGGAUGAACUUUAUCGGAGGAGCACAAUCAGCUGUCAUUGCAGUAAUCAUGCAACAUAAACCAGAAGCAUGGUCAUUUUCAGUCAACAUCCAAUUGUGGUCCACCAUUUAUGCCGUAAGUAAGGUUAUGAUUGGAUUUCAGAUUUAUAUAUACAGUCUAAAGCUAUUGAACAAUUCUAAUUCAUACUUGAUAAUGCCAGGGAGUGGUGUGCUCGGGUAUAAUGAUCUUCCUUUUACUAUGGUGCACUAAACAAAAAGGGCCAGUUUUUGUGACCAUGUUUAAUCCCCUUUCAACAAUAAUGGUGGCAUUUACAGCAUACUUUGUUCUUGGCGAAAAGCUGUAUACGGGCAGGUAAGAAGGUUUAUCCAACUUUUAGAAGCAUUGCACACACAUAUGCCUUGUUUUUAUUGUUCUAAAGGAGUCUUUCCGCUCAUUCAGCAUCGUGGGAGCAGUUAUCGCUAUUAUUGGUUUAUACUUGCUGUUGUGGGGCAAAGAGAUUGAUCAACAAGUUGGGGUGAAGUCCCAAGAGCAAUCCAAUUUAACUUCCGAGGAGCAGAAGGAACCAACCCAGAUUGCCACUUCACCAUAGGGGAGGAUACUACUAUUGAAUCAGGGUGGGAACUUAAACAUAAACUUCACCAUCGGAUCAUAACAUCAAUUUUUGAAUUAAUAAGCCUAACUCUAUCUCCACGAGUGAUUAAUCUAAAAGUUUUCUCUGAUUUUUUUUUUCAAAAGCGUAUCUUCUUGAUUCUGAUAUAGCUUAUGUAUGAUGUCAAAAGAGGGCUGCCAUCCGCGUAACAAUGGGUCAAAUUUUGCUAUAUCUUAUAGAAAUUCCAAUGGAAUUUGAAUACUAGUGCCUCGACAACCCAAUCAAUAAAUAUUGUGAUGUUUGCUCAGUCGAUAACCAUCUAAUGAUGCAGAAUAAACUGAAUCGAAAAGGGAAAAGGCACAGAAAGUUUUCAGAUGUAAUUUGUGGGUAGCCCUUGAACCCCAUGAUUUUCCCAAGACAGACAAUCCGGUGCCAGUUCUUGGUGCUUGACAAGCAAGACACCAUGUUUCGGGCCUUAGACCUAGUGGGCAAUAUAGUUUAAUGGUGACAGGUUCUUUUGUUGAUGGUAGCAUUACACAAAAGCCACAUUACUUUUCUCAACAAGCCAAUUACUCCCACAUUUUCACAUAAAACGUGGCAGACAAAUCAUUCAAAAAGCAUAGUCACAGCUUCAAUUCGAAUCGUUUAAUGGUAUUAUAAAUUCAAUGAGCUUACAUAAUUGUAUACUUGAUGCUGCUCAAAUUGACUGGAAUUGGAGCUCUUCUAGUUGGAUCUUGCCACCAGAAUGUCAAGAACAGCCAACUAGAAGAGUUGUACAGUAGAGAAAAGGAAAAAAAAAUACAAAAAGACGGAACACAAAUUGAAUGUUGGAUAAGGCAAGGAAUAAAAUAAAUAUCUACAAAUGGCACAAUGUACAGAGGCAGCUUGUGAACCGUCCAUAUGUUUCAAGCACUAAUUUGCAACAGCUGAAUUUUACUUGAGACUUCUUUCACUUUGCUUCCAUUAGUCUUUGUCGAAUCGACUCAGGACUUGAUGUCUUCUUGAUGCUGCAAAAGAAUAGAUGAUAACAUCAAACACCACUGAAAAGUAUCCUUUCACCUUUUAUGGGUGGAACUAGAGAGAGAGAAAUUCCUUUUACUUUCUUGUAAUAUUACCAAUAUAACCUUUAUCUGGCUAUUUAGAAGCAAAUAAAUAUCUAUCUACAUUCUCAAAUUGCCAUAUUAAAUGAAUACAGGUUUGCAUUACACAGGAACAUAUGGCACAAAGAUGACUGAAAAGGCUCACCAUAAUAGCAAGUCCCCACUAGAUGCCAAUUUCUCGGAAAUCCAUUCUGGAACUAGUUCUUGUAGCAACUUAAGCUGUUCUUCAACUUCUCCUGCAAAUAACAAUCAAGAGGAUUUAGCUUGGAUAAAGCUUAUGUAAUGUUGAGUCUGGAAAGGACUAAAGCUUACUUCUAUCAACAAUAUCACAAUGGCUUGCAAGUAUCUUGUGCAUAAGCUCCUCUUUUGUGACAACGGAACGAUUGAUUGACUGAAAUAAGAAAUGAAUCAUGUUGAAGAGCUUAGGUAGACCAACAAUCAUCUCUCGCCUCCUCUUUGCUUGUGAGAUGGCUGGAUCCUGCUCUUCUAUUGCCUUUCUCUCUUUCUCCCUUAUCUGCAAAAGGGGCAAUAAGGUUAACUUUUUGAUUGAAAUCUCGAAAUCAACAUGAUCACAAGCCUUCUUGUGCCGUAACCUUAAUAUAUUCAUCUCUAACAAGAUGUCAAAAAGACAAGAUCAUGAUAGAGCUUAUAAAAUUGUUUUCAUCAAAACCACAACCUUAUAUUAAGAUUGCCUUGAUUUCAACCCCUCCCCCCAAAAAACCCAUCAAAUUGUUUAUUAGCACAAGAAACUUCCCUUUCUCGACCAAAUUCUCAGAUUCUCAAAAAUAAAAGAAAAUAUUUUUCCGUUUGCUCAUUUGUUUGCAGGAAGCUUUACAGAAAAAUAGUCUGGCAAUUCACACCUCUGUUUCUUUUCCUUUUUCCAUUUUUCUAAAAUCCAUAUCAUACACUAUUUCAACACUAUUCUAGCAGAGGCACACUAUUAAAUGCCUUGAAACAAAUGAAUUUAAAAAUUGGUGAACUUCGAAUAGUAAAUAUAAGAGUUUCAUCUCAGCAGUUUAUAAUAUUUUAGGAAUAAAUUUAGAAACACCAAUAUAUGCUGAUUAAGGAGUCAAUCAUAGGGAGCUUAUGCAGUGCGUACCGAUUCCAGAAGAUUCUCAGGAAGAAUGUCAAGAAUAUCGUUAUCAACUGACAAGCUCCCUUUCUCGUUUACUUCUUCCUUAAUCUCUGCACCCUUCACAGGAGUGUCAAAUUUCAAUGACCUGGAACGGGCUGGACGUCUAACUAACUUGUUUGGUGAAUUGGUGGAAUCAUCAUGCGGACUCAUGAGACAUCUCUUUGGUGGCUGCAAUGAAGGUGUCAUUGUCAUCAACCUGGCUGGACUAAAAGCAAGUUUGGCAGGGGUCACUUGAAUGUCAGGGGUUUUCAUGGAACAAAAAUCUUGAUUGUCUGUAGAAUCUGUCUUUUUCAAUGGAGUUGCAGGUGGGUGAGACAAUGGUAAAUGAGCUGGAGAUGAAGAUUUAACAGGGGAUGGCGCAACAGUAGCAACAACUUCCUCAUUGGAGGAACUUUUGUUAAGGUAUGGAUCCUGAACUGGAAGAUCUGAAAGUUGGAGAGAAAAGUUUGCUGGCUUUUUAUUACUGUUCUCUGCUUCACCUGAAAUUUUCUGUGAAAAGCGCCUCUGGAAGCAUCGAGACAAAUGGGAUGCUACUGCUUGUGGCUGUUCCAUUAGCACAUCACAAGAUGUCUCCGCUGGCAACGAAGAGUAGGAAUCUUUGAUCAUGUUUGAAUGAAGAUCUUGCUUUGACUGACUGAAUGGCUCUGGAAGUGUUUCCUCUGGAAUUUCAUCUCCCUAGAUGCAAAAAUAGCAUUGCUCAGUAAAAUGCGAACAUGAAAGGCAAGAAAAAAUUGAACCAAAUAUAAAACCACUAAAUGGCUUUGCAGAGUGAAAGCACUGAACGAAAAAAUGAAACACCCAACAUGAAAUACAGAAAUUUGAAAAUGCCCAUACCUCGGGAUGGGCUUUAGCAAAAUCCAAAAGCCGUGCUCGAAAUAUUUUCCUCAAAUGAGAAUUUCCACUUUCUAAUUUUGAGUUCUCUAUCCCAUCAACAUCCAGUGUAAUAAGGAGAUCUGGUUUCAUACAACUGGUUCGCUCAUCAAGCAUCAGAACCUUCUUUAUCACGAUAGCCUCAGGCAAAAUGUACUUCAAUUGAGCUAAGUUGCCAUGUGAGAACCUCCUAAAAAUCAUAACAAAAAAGAGAGAAAUUACAGUGAUCAAUCUCCAGGCCGCAACAGUACAAAUACCUGAAUAUAAAUGCUUCAUUCGACUAGCAGGAAAAAAAAUAGUUUGACUCCAAACGAAAACCUAACUGAGUCUAAUUUUAUGAAAUCAAAACCAACAGAAGAAUAAGACCCCAUUUUCAUCUUGUUAUCCUCCCUUAUCAUCAUUUUUUUCAUGAACCAAACAGCGAAUUGUAGAAAACCCAGAUUCCAAUCUUUAAUCAGAACCAAAAACAAAACCAAGUACCAUCUGCUAUAUACUCAGUUUUAAAUAAAAACAAAACAUACAACUAAAAAGCAUAAAUUUAACCCACAAUCUGCUAUAUCCUCUAUUUAUAAAAAAAAACCCAAAAAAAUUCAUUCCUGUAUCUUCUUUUCCUCAAUUUUUUCAUCUACUAAACAAGAAAUAACAUGAACCAUUAACUCAAUCCACAAUGCAAAACCAAAUACCUAUCGGUUAAACACUCAAUUUUCGGGCAUAUAUUCGUAAAUGUCGACAUUGAACCCUUCAAUCGCAGCAACCGAAUUGAGCUAUCCAAGCUAUCAAAAAACUGAGCCAACAUCUCAUACCUGUAGAAUACAUCCAAAAAAAUUUAAUAAAUUUCCUCCUAAUAUCCAUGAACAAAAAAUGCUGAUAAUAAUAACUAUAAUAAAAACAAAAUUCUUCAAUGUUUCUCAAAAUUCACAGAAUCUUACUUUUCCGGUAGCUUCAUAGAGCGGUUCACAUUCUUCUGUCUCGAAGGCGACGCAACAGGAUCCACCGAUGCGGUCCGAGCAGAUCCCACCGGAGCGGUUCGAGCGGAUUGGACUGGAGCUGACUUUGUGAGGGUAGUGGCCAUUUGUUUCACUUCUUUAAUGGAGAGUGCGACGGAGCCAUUUCGACCUCGGCGAGGGGGGAGGGCGGGCUUCUCGGGGGUUUUGGAGCUCCAUGGAUCGUGAUCUGGAGCUUUGGUUUGAUCUACCUUCGAGCUUGACUUUGCGAUCUUCUUCGACUUGAAAGGAUUGAAUGCUGAAGCGGACAUUGUGGUUUGUGGAGAGUAGAAACAGUAGAGUUGCAGAGUGGCAGUAAGGAUUUGCAGGUGGUGGCGGAGAAGACGAAGGUAUACUAGGGUUUUUGGCGCGAAACCUACUGACGUGUGCGCUGCCAGGUCAGAUUUCCCGCCACAGAAUUCCCGGGGUUUCUCUGGGCCGUUCAAUGGAAUUGCCAAGCCCCUCCUCGUCCUGCCCAUUGUCGAGCCGGACCAGCCCAUUUUGUGAAUAGAUGGGGCCCAUUACGUGUAGGUUGUAAGCCCAAACCAGACCAACUGGACUUCAGUCCAUUUUCCUGAUAUUUUCAUUGGGCUCCUGUAGAAUAUCGACCCAAUCUAUUUUCGAUAUGAUUUCAUCGGGCCAUCUAUAUUAUUGGCCCCAAUCCAUAUUGGGAUUUUGGAUGAGCGUAAGAUGGUUUAGUAGAUAUCAGCCUUUUUCGGAUUUAUUUUUGUUUGAAAAACAGUAAAAAAUAAAUUAAUGAAAUAAUAAUAAAAAUAAUAAAUAAAUAAAAGAGAAAAAAGUAAAUCUAAAUUCUAAUUUCCAGAAUAUUUUAAAUUUUUAAAAAGGAUUUUUUCACUUGAGGUGAUCAAUUAAUUUUCAAAAUAUUUUAUUUAAAAAAUUAUAUUAAAUAAACACGAGUAAUCCAUUUUUAAAAAAUAUAAAUAAAUCAUGUCAGAAAGUGCACGUAUGGUAACCUUAAAAAAGUUUUAUUGAACAUUUAGCGUUGAAGAAAUUCAAUCGAGAUUUUAGAAGAAUUAAGAAGAAUAAAAAAAGGAAAAAAAAUUAUAAAUGAUUGAUAAUAAGUAGGAAAGAAGUGUAUGAAAAUAGGAAGAGUUUGAAGAGGAAACUACACUCUAGGCCCAACAACAUAGUACCAUCCUACAAAAAACAAAUCCAACCCCAAAUCAAAGAUGGGAUUGGGGGGUGAGCCUAACUCUCAAAGGGAUACAGAACCUUUCUUGUAUAUCAAUUGUUAUCAUAUCGUCGGUUAAGUAACAAAACCACUGUUCCACCUUGGGUUUGGUUUGGAAUUUUGGAAAUUCUGAUUGAGAGGGGAGAGGAGUGGGCAAAUUGACGUUUCCAUCUUCACGUUUCCUUUUGUGUAUAAUAUAUAUGGGGAGAGAAUAGAGAUGGCUAAAACUCCUCAGAAAUUAUUAAAGAAUCUCUGAAAAUUCCUCUUUCGUCCACGCAAUUCCCUCUCUCUUGGGUUUUGCCCUUUUCUUUAAUUUCUUUCUUUCUUCUUGUUUCGGUCUCUGAAGGCAGCCCCAACCCCCCCUUCCGUUCUCCGUACCAAUUCCUCUGAUUUCCCCCGAUUUGAUUGUCUUUCUGGUCGCAAUUCUCAUCUGGGUUUUUGCCAAUUUCGACUUUCUUUGAUUGUCGCCGCUCAACCCCACCUUUCCUUUUAGGGGUUGCAGGUAAAUUUUUCUUUUCCUGCACCUGGGUCUUUUUUUUUCCUUUUUUUUUUCUGUGCAAAAUUGAAAUUGGUCGUCAUGUGAUUGGGGUGAACUGUUUGAUGGGUAUUUGGGGUUUACUUGUAGUGAUCAAAACUAGCUCCUUUUAGCUAGUCGUGAUCGUAAUCUUCAUGGUCUCAAUCAUAUGACAACGAUAAUCACUAUAUGUUUUUCUUUAUAAUGCCCUAUUCUUACGAUACAGAUGUCAAUUCCAAUCAUUUUCAAUGAUUGAAUAGUUGAAUAAUGACACUUCCUUUUCGUUGCCACUUUGUGGGUCUUAAUUUAUGUGCAGUUCAGUUGACUGGGUUCUGGGAUUGGUGAAGUUAUGUUUGUGUGCAGAGGCUUUGAUUGCAUUGGUGUUUCUGGGGAAUUGCAAAGCUGAACCCUAUUUAUUGCAUUGCUUAUGCCCAACUGGUUAGUGAGAAAGUUAACUUUGAGCUGGAUUUUCCAAGUUGAAUUCAGUUGGUAUCUGUUUUAGUCAGAAGUCUUGAGUUUCAAUGUGAUUAGUUUAUGGAGAAAGGUAGUUCUUAGUGAUUAGUAGCAGUUGCAGGUGAGUAUUGAUAAAUACUUUGUUUGACUUCAAGAUGCUUUUGACAUUUAGGUGUGUUGGCUACUAGUAAAUGGAGUGAGUUUAAGGGUUCCAGGGGGAAUUAAUCUGAAAAAAAGUGAGGUGUUAAGACCGUAUUAUGCAUUUAUUUGAAUCACUUGGAAAGUGAAAAUCUGAUUUCAAAUAUGGUUGAUUAUGCUCAUAUGAAGGUCAUAGAGGUGUCGCGGAAUAGAGAAGUCCACUUACUAUGCAAAGGAAAAUUUCUUAGUAACUUGUAUUACUACUGUUUCUUUCCUAAAUAAUUCUGAUAAUGGAUAAAUUGUUUGACGCUUAACUGUUUAACUUAGUAACAUCACAAUGUUACACAUCAUUCGAUUUGUGGAGAGGGGCUUUAAUUGUUGUGUCUAUUUUCCUGGUUAAGGUUACAUAGUUAAUCAAAAUGAACUGCUGGCCUGGGAUGUAAGGUGUGGCUGACAUAUCAAUGAUUAUUGUUCUUAGUAAAUUGCUCAUUUAGUUUAGAUUCAAUUGUUGCAAAUGAGUGCUUUAUUGACACUCUUUCACCACAUUCCUUUAGCAGUUGCCUGUUAUGUAGUAAUAACAUUUGAGUGAAUCUAAGUUCAUCCUCUUUCUUAUUGGGAGUAGUGCACCAAAUUACUUUAGCAAUCAUCUGUACUGCUGACAUGGAAAAGAUUAAAAUUCCCUGAGGGCUUUAUUAACAAAUACAGGCUUUUCAAUGCAUUUUCUUUUCACUUUAUCAUUUCAAGGUGGUCUCUGAUUCUCGAGAUGCAGCAUAAAUAAAACCCUGAAGAGAUCAAUACUCUAGCUGUUGGAUUUACAUUCUCUGUUCUCUUGUGGAGUGAGCAAGUCUUAAAAGAAAAGAAUAUCAAUUUGGUAGUCAUUGCUGUUAACAAAAUAAUGUAAGAGUGUUUCACCAUCUAAUGUGCAAAUUUUAUUAUAUCAGUUAUUGAACCACAACCCUAUGUGCACCUGCUGUGGGUUUGCUAGUUUUGUUGUUAACACUUCAUCUUUUUUUGCAGCAUGCACUAAGUUUUGUUUGUUUAUAUACAAUUCUCUCUUGGCUAUUAUCCGUGAUUCUGUGUAACUGCUUCUACCUUUUAAGGUACAUGUUAUAUUAUAAAAGGGAGUAAUCUGAUUCUCUCUCUUUUUUCCAGCGUGUUGCUUUGACCAUUCAAGCUGUUUGGGGAAUGGACUGGCUGCUUUUGCCUACUGUUGUUGUUUGUGAAUGAUGUUCAGAGGGCAAAAGGGUGCUAAUGCACUUAGCAUAUUUAAAUGGAAGUGGCACGGUGAAUCAUCUUUGACCACAGGAUUGCUAAACGAUGUGCCUCCUGAGAUUGAAUUAUCUGACUAUCGAAGGAUACCAAGUCCUGGUAGUGACAGCCCUUCUGGACUUCUUAAUGGUGAGAGCAGGAAUGUGGAACCAAUCACUGAUUUAGACCUGUUCUUUGAAAGGCUUUACAACUAUUAUUGUGAGAAAGGCCUUUGGUGCAUUAUCAUAAAAUGGAUAGUUGAGCUCCUGAGCCUGGGUUUCACCAUAUGUUUCUCAGCAUUUUUUCUAUUAUUUGUUGAUUGGAAUGGGCUUCACAAUGCAAAAUGUGGGAUGGAUGCAGUUGAAUCUGGAAUUAAGCCCUGUGAUCUUUCUAAGGAAGCGCUUCAUCAACAUCCAUUAACCCCCUUCACACUUUCAAAAGCUAUUAUUGUUGGAUAUUUGGGCUUAUUUUCUGUCUAUUGGAUCUUCUGUUUUUUGAGAUUUUUUGCACAAUUAAAGGAGACUCUGGGAAUACGUCACUUCUAUUACAACAGGUGAAUUUGAACUUGAUCUAAAAUUCAAUGUUGUGUAAACAUUAUCAAAUUAUUUUUGGGAGUCUUUAUAAGCUGAUUUUAGAAGCAAUCUUAAAGAACAAUGAGCAACUUUGUUAUCAUUUUGCAGCCUCCAUGUCACUGACAAUGAGAUUCAAACGAUUCCAUGGGCAUCAAUUCUUGAAAAGGUUGUUCAGUCACAAAGUUCACAACAACUUUGUGUGGUUAAGGACCUUUCUGCUCAUGAUGUGGUGAUGCGAUUGAUGCGGAAGGAGAAUUACUUAAUUGGAAUGCUCAACAAGGGAGUUCUUGCUUUUCCAAUAUCUCGUUGGGUCCCAGGUGCUGGCCCGACUGUUAAAUUUGGCUCAAAUGGAGUGCAGCAUCAUCUGAUACUGACAAAGACCCUUGAAUGGACCUUGAAUUGGUGCAUACUGCAGAGCAUGUUUGAUAGGUAUUUUUCUUUUUAUUUAUAUCAGUCAUGUUUUUAUUUUUAUUUUAUUUUAUUAUUAUUAUUGAAUUUUUAUGGUUAUUGCUAUUUUGAAACUACCUUAAACUUCUGUCCAUGUCAAACCACUUGUCUAGACUUGUUGACACCAACUCGGGCAUUUCCAAUGUACCACCAUGAUUUACAAGUGUCUGGAACAUGUAUUACACCCACAGAAGUCAUAAAAUUUAUUCUUUUCUUUUCUUCAUACUUUGGGGCACUGUUUUCGCGUCUCCUCUUUAUAUAUAUUCUUUUUGAUCUUACCUAUCAAAAAAAAAUUAUUCUUUUCUUCAUUUUUUGUUAAGCUACAAUGUGUUGGUUCUUAGAGACACAUGUUUAUACCAUGGUGACACAUUUAUACUUGCCUUUUCAAUACUAGGUUUUAACAAUUCUUCCACAUACACACAAAAUUUGGUAAGCUCAUAUAUUCAAUAAAGGCACUGCCACAGAUGCUAAAACAUAUGUAGCUGAAUCCUCAAUUCUAAACUUGAGGAAGUUGUUGGAUAAUUUGGAUUCACAGGCUGAGUGAAACGAAUAGUGCAUUUUUUCCGCCUCGUCUUUCUCUUAGGUUUUCAAAUAAUGAAUUUCUAUUCACAUUGAAGCAGCCAUAUUGUUAAUGGUUUUGUUUCUGGAAUCCUACCAAGCUUCAAAUCCAUCUACCACCAUCUGGGUCUUUCUUCUAAAAUAGUAGAUUGUGAUAGAAAAUCAUGACUAGCGGUGUUGCAAAGGGAGUUCCUUAAGUAUAUAUCCAUGUGGACAUGGCUUGUAUUUUUUUUUUUUAAUAUUAUAAAUAUCUUUUUUCAAGCACUUGGUGAUGUCAACUUCUUCUUUUUCUUUUUCUUCUUUUUAAAUUUUAAUUUUUUUUAUAGGUAAAGAUAGGUAUAUAUAAAUUAGUAAUAGAAAAAGGUACACCAUAGUACACAUGAUGUGUACAAGGAGCACCUAAAGCAAGGCCUCAAAAGAAAGAGCACUAAAAACAAAGGCAUUGAGCCUUUACUUAGGUAUAUUCUAAUCCAAGCUGAAAGAUUGCAAAGGAAUGAGAGUUUUAUCAUUUGGUCAUUCUGUUCUUUAUCUUUAAAAGCUCUUUGAUUGUGUUUCCGCCAAAUUGUCCAAAAAAUGCAAAAGGGGGCAACUUUUCACACUUUUUUCUUCUUGUUCUUUAUGGAUAUAAAUCCAUGUGGCUUCUUUAAUAUAUAUGCAUGUGGCUUUUGCAAAUAUAUAUUUUUCAUUAUUAUAAAUCUGCAUUUUGAGGACGCUAAUUUUUUUUAAUGGAUAUAAAUCCAUGUGACUUUAACAAGUAUAUAUUUUUAUUGCGCCUAUAAAGGGGCUGCGCUCCCUCCCCAUUUUUUUUUAUUUAUGGCUAAUUGUCCUUGUACUUUAGUACUUGUUCAUUCUUCUUUGAUAGGCAACAUAAAAGAAAAUGUAUAAAGAAGUGUCCAACAAAACAGGGGGCAUAACCCAUGAACACAUGAUGUACACAAGUCACCCAAAAAGAAGGAAAAGGCUAUACAAGCCCAAUUCAGCUAUCACAAUUAGGCACUGAUUAGCCAACCCCCAUUUAUCUACAACAUCAACAAAGGAGAGUUUUAAGUUCUCCUUAAUCCAAUUACGCACAUGUACAGGAUAGGAGCAAACUUUUUACAGUAAGGUAAACUGGCCUUCAAAUAUUCUAUGGUUACACUCUUUCCAGAGAGUCUAAAAGAGACACAAAGAGAUCAAAACUACUACACCAAUUGAAUAUAAUAUCUCUAAUCAAAUUAGAAAGAAUCCAAACACACCAAGCAAAGUGAAAACUAAAAGACCAUAGUCUCAAAGCUCUGUUUGCAAUGUAGGAUCAUGUUCUUAGUUGACUCGAGUCUUGUUUACUAAGGCAACUCUGCUUUACCAUAGAACAGUCUUGCUUAGUAAGUUGAUCAGAUGUGAGAUUUUUUUUUCAAGUUGUCUCCCAAAUAGAGAAAUAAACCUUAGAUUGCACCUUUGAAUCCAACAUCCCUUUAGCAGGAAAAAGAGAUGAUCUCAUAAUAUCAAACAUUUGUAAUAAGAGUAUACUGAGGAAAAAGGCCUUUCUUUGAAGUCUUCCAAACCAACUUGUCCACUUUCCCAACCUCAACAAAGGGCUCAAUAUGUGUUUAAGAGAUUCCACCAGAUUUACCUCUCAAUCAAAAUAAAUUUAUUCUAAAUGUGGGGUUCCAACAGUUCCCUUCCCAAUACUCAGGAACACAAGCCUCUUUAUGGACUGCCAAAACAAACAACCCAGGUAAAAUAUCUUUGAAAGGCCUACCCCCAUACCAAAUGUCAUGCUAAAACUUGAUUCCAAAACUAUUACCAACUGAAAAGUGUGUUUUUGAGUCCCCCCACCCCACCCCUCCUAAUGGCUUUCCAUAUGCUUGUCCCAUAAGCUUCUUUACUGAGCAACAGCUCCUGCCAUCUUUCCAUACUUUCCUAUGAUUACUUUUGUCUAAAAAAAAUCACCCUCAAUUGCAAAUCUCCAAGGCUACUUACAACCCUGGCCAUGGUCAGAGGCUCAAGGCUCUUAAUGCCCAAACCCUAUAAACACAUACACAACCACUUAAUAAGAUGAAUUUUACUCUCUAAAUUGUCACAUUUCAUUGAAGGUACACCUGGAUCUUCUCUAGAUCACUUACACCAUGCUAGGAUUACAAAAACUGACAUAUAAUAGAUUCACGGGUUAGAAAGAGUGCUCCUCUGGAAAGUCAUCCUUCUCCCUUUAGAUAAAAGCUGCUUCUUCCAGAAUUCCAGUGCUGAAUUUUUCCUCAACAGAAGCCCACAGUGGGGUAGCCUUGAAUGGAGCAUGCAAAGGUAAUCCUAAAUACUUAGAAGGCAGACUUCUCAACCUGCAAUCCAACUGACUGGCCAAUUAGGUGAAUGAACUACGGGACAGGUGACUUCAUUGAAGGAUGUCUUAGGAAUAUAUCAUUUUUUUUUAAUAGGUAGGAAUAUAUCAUUGCCACCCACAAUUUUUUUGGCUUAAUUUGUUUAGGACUUCAUCUUCUAACUCUGUAUAUGCUGUCUUGAGGGUUCCUUUUUGGAGACAGGCAGGAAGGCCCAACCUCUUUAUUAGAUUUUAUAGAAUGGGUGGACUCUUCUUUUUAUAGUGGUUUUGUAGCUACUAUAGCUGAUUUUUUUGUUUCACUUGUAUACUUCCGGUAUACUGUAUUUGCCACUUUAGUUUGGCAUCCUUUUUGUAGUCAUUAAUAUACAUACUCUUAUUUGCCUAUCAAAAAAAAAUCUUCUAACAUACUGGUUCCAGGUCCCAGGUUCCAAUCCCGGGAAAGGAGAGUUGCAUUAGGUUGGCAGCUAGUUUAGAACCUGUUUGUCAAAUUCUUUUGAACACAAAUAUUCCAAAAUUUUGGUCUAAUGUGAUGGUGUUCCAAUGAAGGAAUUUUGUCUGAUGGGCAGAAUGGUUGAAAGGAACUAACUCCAAUUUGUUGCAGUAGGCUUUCUUGAUUUGAGCUGUUACCUGCAUUUGUCAACUGUCUUCUUUUGAAUGGCAUUACAUUGUUUCAUAUUGCUUACUCGUACAUAUGACGCAAUCUGGAAACUUUGCAGUGAACUAUUGGAUAGUUUACUGUAAAGGUAAAGAAAUUUAGUUAUGGCAGAAAGCUAGAAAUGCUCCUUUAUGUAACCACUUGAACAGAAAAGAAUAAAAAGAAAUAUGCUGAAUGCUGUUUAAGAUUGAUGAACGAUUUCUGAUCUUAGUAUACACUGUUUCUGCAGAAACUUUUGUGUUCGAAGGGACUUUGUUUCUAAUCCUAAAACAUUGAAGAAAAGGCUUAUGGUUGUUGGGAUUGUGAUGCUUCUCCUUUCUCCGUUUCUUGUCAUAUUCAUUCUGGUGUUUCGCUUCUUGAGGCAUGCUGAACAGUUUUAUAAUCAUCCAACCACAGCAUCAUCUCGGAGAUGGUCAAAUUUGUCAAAGUGGAUCUUUAGGGAAUUCAAUGAGGUAUUAUUCUUUCUUUUUUAAUUCGAAAUUUGUGGUAUAAUAGGUGGAAACAGUUUAUUUUUCCCUGAAAUAACAAUAAGGCAGAUUGUAUCUGAUGGCUGUACCUAAGAUUAGGAGGGACAUAAUUAGCCCGUUCGGAAAACUCAUUUAUGAAGUAUUCAAGUUCUAUUCCAACACUCAUGAAUUAUUUAUGUUAACAUUUCUCCAGAAAUGAAUAUAUUUUGAUUGCUAGUGGGUAAUUUCCUGCUGUUAUGAGUGUCUUCAAAGAGUAUAAAUUAAAUCAUUAAUUUUUGGCCCUCUCCACUGGCUUGAGAUAGAUUAUUACUGUUAAUGAUUUCUUUUCCUAGCCCCUAGGCCUUAGCACAGUUGGUAAGAGUGGGGAGAAUGGGCUGGUUGGCUACUGAUGACAAAGGUCUUGUUCUCUUUCCACAUGCUAUUUUUUCUUUGGAGAAUGUAGGUUAGCCAAGUCCUUUUGUUGGUGAUGUUCUUUAGCAGAGUCUGAACAAGAUAUCAAAUUAAUACUUGUAAAAAUAAAAAAUAAAAAAAAACAAAAAAAAAACAAGACAUCAAAUUAAUUUCUAUAUGUGAACGUCACUAUAUUUAACUGAAUUACAAUCUACCACAACUUAUCCAAAUAUAGAAGAUUAGAUCUACUAAAAAUUUUAUUAUGUGCAUCUUACCAACUGCACAUGUAUAGUUUAUUAAUAGGAAACUGGGGAAACCUUUAUUAGUGAUGAAUAAAACUGACCAGGAGGUGGGCCCAUCUGCAGAAGCCAA